UGUAACACCCUAACUUUCCGGGAUGCCAUCCAUUUUUGGAAUAUUUCCGUCCUAACAUGCUUAACUCUCUUAACUUCUUGGCCUAUCCACAGUCCAAAAUACUUAAACUGGGUUAAGAGUUUUAACCCUAUUAUAUCUUAUAUAUAGAAUUACCUGGGAGUCUCACAUUCUUUCUCCCUUAAGUCCUGACGUUCUCGUUACUCGUCAGGAUCAAACACAUAAGUAUCAGGCGAUGUGAGACUCGUCUCGUUAGUUUAAAUUGACCUCAUGGUGAGUUACGCACCACGCACAACAGUCAACAGCGUAAAAGUCUCGCUUUCUCCGCUGUAUAAUCUUGGCUUAGCUGAGACUUAUCUCACAUUUUCGAUUGAUAAUUAGCUCUGAUACCAAUUGUGACGUCUGACUUCCGAAGAGGUCAUUAUUUUAAUUUUACUACUUGACCUUUCAAGGUUUGCCUUCUUAAUAGAAAACCAAUAAAUUCGGAGAUAAGCCAUUUAAUGCAUCUCGUGUUAUUAAUUUUAUCGCUCAAUUUUAAACUUAAUAAUAGAGAUUGGACAACCAGAUAAAAUGAAUGUCUAAUAAAAGAAUCACAAAUUUAUAAAGUUAUUUCUUGUUGAAGCUGGUUGUGAGCUAGUACAUAUCAAUGUUUUAAAACCCGGGUUGACUGGGCCGGUCGGAUCAUAACCCAGCUCGGACCGGUUCAGUUCAACCCGUAAAAUCGAACUUGGUUAAAAUGUAUUUUGACCAUAGUUAGUUAAUUCGGAUUGGGCAAAAAUUCGGUACGGAUAUAAUGCGCAUAAAAUUUAUUUUCUAAUUUUUAAAUUCGUUGAAAAAUUCGGCUUAAAAAAUAAAUUCGGUAUAAAAUAUAAAAUAUAGAAUAUAAAAUAUAAUAUAAUCUAUAUUUAAAUAUAAAAAUUAUAUGUUUUUUAUUCAUAUUUUCAAUAAUUCGAAAAUAAUUCGGGAAUAAUUCGCGAAUUAUUCGGCUGGCCCAAAAAUUCGCGAAUAAUUUUCUAUCUUUGGAAAAAAUUCAUAAACGGACCGUUUAAUUCGGAUUUUCAAUAAUUCGCGAAUAAUUCACGAAUAGUUCGCGAAUUAACUAACAUAGAUUUUGACUUGCUCCAACCAAUGGUCCAAUCAACAAAUUGUUGAACCGGCUAGAUUCUACAAGAAUUGGUCAUGGUCAUAGUUUUUUAUUUUAUAUUUCGAUAAUUAAUUAAAAAAUGCUUAAUUAUUUUAAUAAUUUACACUUAAAAUACAUUUUUAACUAUAUAUAUAACAUAAUAAUAUAUAACAAUUAUACAUAGCACUAUGCUUAGUUUAUAUUUUUUUUUAAAUAUUUAUAUCAUUAUGUUUACGUUAUUCUACACGUACGAUAGUUCAACUAUUGGUUGAACUGGAGAUCAAUGAUCCAAUAGACAUUGGUACAGAUAACAAAUAUUAAAGACACGAGUUGAUAUUUAGUUUAUUGCUUAGGUUAGGGAACUCAUACUUAUAUCUUUCCUUUCUUAUUUUGAUUCGCUUUGGGUCCGUUAUUAAUUGUCCUUAUUGUUUUCUCUCAAAUAGUUUUGAGAUUAAUUUUCUACUUUCUCUUUUAUUAUAUUUGGUUGGCCGAAAAUGAACACCGAAAGUAUUAUUUUUAAAAAGUGACGUUUUAUAAGCUAUUUUGUUUGUGAAAGUAGAUAUAAAAGUUUUUUUUUUUGAAAAAAGAAGAUACAAAAGUCACAAUACAAAAAUUGGGCUAAGAAAGUGAGUUAUGACUAAAUAUUUAUUUAUUUAUUUAUUUUCUUACUUCGGCCUAAAAAUUUCAAAAUAAUCAAAAGCAGAAAUCUUAUUUUGAUUCGCUUUGGGUCCGUUAUUAAUUGUCCUUAUUGUUUUCUCUCAAAUAGUUUUGAGAUUAAUUUUCUACUUUCUCUUUUAUUAUAUUUGGUUGGCCGAAAAUGAACACCGAAAGUAUUAUUUUUAAAAAGUGACGUUUUAUAAGCUAUUUUGUUUGUGAAAGUAGAUAUAAAAGUUUUUUUUUUUGAAAAAAGAAGAUACAAAAGUCACAAUACAAAAAUUGGGCUAAGAAAGUGAGUUAUGACUAAAUAUUUAUUUAUUUAUUUAUUUUCUUACUUCGGCCUAAAAAUUUCAAAAUAAUCAAAAGCAGAAAGCUUAUCUAAAUAGUGAUAUUUGGUCCAAAUUUUAAUCUUUGAAUUUAUUUUUAGAGUUGAAUUUCAACUUAAUUUCAAUUAAAGUUAUGAAUUUGAUUUCAUAUUUUGAAUUUUAUUUUUAAUUUCAAAUUUAAAAGAAAAUGUUUAAAUUCAAAUUUGCAAAUUUAUAUUUAAAUUUCAAACUUAAAUUUAAAUUUGGAUUGUAAUUUAAAAUUUUAGUGUCACGUCCCGGAUUACUUGUUUCCCGGGCUCGCUAACAGACCAGCCGUAUACAUAGGUAAUUCCCCUGUAUACGAAGCGAAAAAGUAGAAGUACCUGUAAUCAUACAAUACUACAAAUAGUAGUAUAGAGUAGAUAGGAAAAAUAAACCAUAUAUAUAUAUAUAUAUAUAUAUAUAUAUAUAUAUAUAUAUAUAUAUAUAUAUAUAUAUAGUCUGUCUAUGGUGCUUGUAAAAGUACAAAGUACUUGGUGCUUGUAAAUAUUUUACCAUUAGAUCUACGCCUUUGAUCAUUUUCACACGUUAUAUUAUAUUAUUCAACCAACUACCCACUCAAUCCUUGGGGACCCACNGAGAUACAACAACUGUAUGUAAAGGCCCAAAAACUACAACUACUUGUAGCUGGUGUUCCUUUAGCUCUGCGACUCGUCUGGAAGGGCUCUAACUCGCAACGCCCUUGCCACGAUCAGUCUCAGUAGAAGCAGCAGCCGGAACAGAAGGCUCUGCCAAAACAGGAUAACAACUGGGCGUGAGAACUACUGCAAAAAAAAGUAGUUCUCAAUGGGUACCGCCCUCGAACUCAUCGGUUCACCGACUAAGUCUACAGGAAUAAGCAGAAAUAGUAAGGAAAGCUGGAAUAAAUCUACAGCUAAAUGCCACUAUAUUAUCAUACUCCAACUCUACUCUCUGUAGAACAAUGUCAUCUUAGACCCAAUCUUAAUAAGGACUGUAAUUAUACCCGUCGCUGGGACUAUGAACACACCUAUCCUGCCCGGUCGCGACUAUACAGCUACCUCCAUACUAACCAGUCCGUGGAGAGUAAGUCCAACCUGCACGAAUGACACCAACGCAAAAGCACAGCGCCCGUCUCUGGAGUGGCACUCGUGGGAGCUACCCAACCGAGUAUGCAGCGUAUCUCUGUCGAGCUCAAACAGGCUCCAACUAGCCAAAGUCAAGUAGUUAGGAUCAAAACAGGUCUAAAAACCAAACUCACGUACCCUCGGCACAAUCUGAGACCAAAAACAGGAAUCUGGGUCCACCGUCCACCCCGACGGCACCCGACAACCCGAAACAGUCUAGUCUCUACUGUAAAAUAAGCUCGGCAUCCAAGCACGAGCGUAAAUGCAUUCUAAACUAUCCCGGGUAUCCACCGCGCUGAAACAGCAGUGAUACGAUCAAAUGACGGCUCCUAGAGCUAAAUCAGGUAGUAGAAUCAUAUGACAGGUUAAAUCACUAGUUUUCUCCUAAGUCAAGAUCCAAGUCCAACAUGUAUAUUCAACUAAUUACUAUUCAUGCUCCAAAUUCAGAUUCAUACAUUAAACCAAUCGAUGAAUUUGAGCUACAACAUGAUAUUUUGAAGUCGAAACUAUACAUGUUUACUAUACAUAUACUUAGGAGCAAAACCGAUGAUAAACCCACCUCUAGAGCAAUUUCUUGGCAGCAAGGAGAUCACUCAGCUGCGGAUCCCCCUUGUCGGAACCCGCCGAACCUGCUCUCAGCCAGCGAUGAUCCACAAUCAAUAUCUGAACAUCAACACCCACUAAAAUCCAUCAAAUUUCACAAUUUCAGCACUUUAAGCUUAAAAAUCACCCAACUUCAACGUCAACACUCACCUAAAGAUCUCCAAAUCAGGUGAGGACAGUCCCACAUCCAGUAAAUAAUGAUGAGGGUGUGUCUCAGGUUCAAAAGUCUACUGCUUCCAAAGUUAGCAUUGAAGAACAUUCAAAAAGCUCAAAAUAAGCCUCAUAGUGACAGCAGUUCAGAAAAAUCUUAAUUCGACCCUACUAACCUCAACAAAAAUCUGCAAAAUUGGACUUUGUGGAUUCCUCUUGAAGUCUAGAAUCCAGCAAACUAAGUUUCACCACAAUCCGACCUUCCUACGUCGCACACGAGCCAAAACAUUGAAGGUCGUCGCUGGAAAACUGCAAAAUCAGCACUCCUCAAGCUGAAUUUUAUGGACUUUGUUGCAAUUUGAGUAGUUUGGAGGGGUUGGAAUGCAAAGUGUAGGAUCACUGUGAAGAAGAGAGGAAAAGAGCUCACCAGGGACGCUGCACAGCUAUUUAUAGGAUGAACAAAUGAUCAGAUGAACCUCAGGAACAAAGGCUGCAAACUUGCACUAUUGCAGAAAACUCAAGAUCUGGGCGCCUUAAACCCAGUUCUGGGCGCCCAGAACUUCCAGUCUGCACAAAUGCUCCCCUUCGAUUCCUCCGCCCGCGGUAUGCUGCGCCCGUAACCAACUCCGGCGGACCUCACCUACCACCAGCCACGUGUCAACACAAUCGGUAUUCACGAUGUGAAUUUUCGGACCCAUUUCUGGGCGCCCGAAACAUAGGAUCCGAAUUGGCUUCCAGUUUCAGUUAAUUUCAGCACUCAGUUCUGGGCGACCUAAACCAAGUUCUGGGCGCCCGAAUCUGGCAAAACUCCAGUUUUGCCUAUUUGAGUGCGCCGAGUCCAUUUCUGCAUCCGUUUCGUGCAGAAACGACUUCGACUCAGUCCGACACUCUCCAGAUAUGUUGACCAGUCACUAAUACUGCAGCCAAUCCUAUCCAAAUCUCAGGAACACUACAUUUAGAUUAAAAUUUUAAGUUUAAAAUUUUAAAUUUAAAUUUUAAUAAAAUUAUUUUUAUCUAGGAAUUUCAAUUUGAACUUUGAAUUCAAAUUGUUCCAAACUAUGAAUUCAAAUUAUACAUUGAAAUUUGAAUUCAAAAUUUAUAUUUUUAAUUUUGAAAUUGAAUUCAAAAUUUAUAUUUUUAAUUUUGAAACUUGAACUUGAAUUUAAGUUUGCAUUUGGAAUUUAAUUUCAGUAAUAAGAUUUAGUUUGAACUUUUAAUUCGAAUUAUAAAUUCAAAUGUUCAAUUUGAAUUAUGAUUUAAACUCACAUUUUAAUUUAAAUUUUAAUUCAAAUUGUGAAUUCAUAUUUGAAUUCAAAAUUUAAGAUCAAAUAGUAAAUCAAAAUUUGAGUCAAAUCAUGAAUUCAAAUUAUGAAUUCAAAUUUGAAUUAAGAUUUAAUCGUUAAGUUGAAAUAUGAUUUUAGAAUUUAAUUUCAAUUAUAAGGUAUAACUUAAAAUUUAAAUUCAAAUUAAAUUUGAUUAUAUGUCUUAAAUUUUAAUUAUAAAUUUUAAUCAGAAUUAGGUUUAAAUUUAAAAUUUAAAAUUUAAUUUUGAAUUCCAAGUGAAUUUAAAUUUAAAUUUAAAUUAUAGUCGUUUGUUUAUAUUUUUACUUUUUUAAUAUAAUCAAAUAAUCAAACAAUCGAAGUCACGAAACCAAAUUUUUUUAUUUUUCACUUUAUACCCAACCAAACAAUCAAAUUCAAAAAUUACUUUCGCAAAAGCCACUUUUAUAAAAAUAACUUUUUUCACUUCAAUCCUGUUUAGGCAACUAAACAUGAGAUUAUAAUUUGUAUUAUACCCCAAAACUAUUUUAUUUGUGCACUUACUAAAUAUAAAUUAAAAAUGUUAUUUUUUGGUAGGUAGUGUAAGCUAUGAGAAAAAAUAAUUAUUUUUUAUAAUUUAAUGUAGUAUAUAUUGGAAUGGAAGGUUAUAACUUUGGGUUUCGAUAUGCUCCUAACUUUAUUUAAUUUUCUUUUAUUUAUUCAAGUAAAUAUCUUAGGUCUUUUAAAAGUGGAGUCCAGAUACAAGAAAGUAUGUUAAAUAAAAAAGAAAAAAAGAUAAAAGAUCACAAAAUAGUACAGUGACUCUUGUGUCCCUAAUACAACCUCUUGUCUGUGAGCGACGUAGCUCUUAAAUUAGUUGCCGCAAGAGCAGUGCUAGUCCUACAGCCUCUAAUGAAGGGUUGUAAUGUUUUACAAUUUAAACCAUUUUAAAGAAUCAUUUUUUUUCAACUUGUCUUGCCCUUUUUUUCUUUGGUACUAAGAAGCAAAAAGUGUUAGAUAAAUGCUAGGCCCUCUGAUUAGUGUCGGAUUAUUUGUGCAAAAGCUUUACAUGUUAAAAAUACGCAACCAAUUCAUUUAAGGCAUACAAGUACAAUGCUUAUGGAUCUCGAUUGUGAUUCGCCCAAACCAACCUACGCCAUUUCGAACAUGAGUCAGCCUAACCCAGCCUCACACCAUUUUAAAUAUGACUCGGUCUAACCUCGCCUCCGACCACAAGGUAGGAUGGUGGCUCAUUUAAGCCAACAAUACUCUCUCUAGUAUAUGUACAAAAUUAUAGCAUGCAGGAAUCAAACCCAUGAUCUUUGACUCUAAUACCACUUGGCGGAUUGUUCGCACUACUAUUAAUCCCAAAAUUAAGUUCGAGCUAUUAGAAAUAUACAACAAAUUUACUUAAAGCUACAGACACAGCGUUCAUAGAUCUCGAUUAUGACUCGUCCCAACCAGCCUCGUGUUAUUUCGAACGUUACUUGAUCCAACCUAACAGCCCGCCAUAGGUAGGAUGCUGGCUUAUUUAAGCCAAAAUUAGGUGGUUGCGAAGAUUACAACCCAAAAGUGGUAGACUAAACAUUUCUAUUUAAUUAAAGCCAAAUUGCACUUUUAUCUUCAAACUAUAGAAUGUGUGAUAUUUUGAUCCUCAAUCUUUAAUUUUAUAUAAUAUAAUUUUCGCUCAAACUUUAUAAGUUAUUAUAAAUAAGUUCUGCAACAUAAUUUAAUGGAAAAACUUCAAAAAUCCCCUCUGUGAUUUCAUAGUUUCUCACUUUGCCCUCCCGUGGUUUAAAAUGUAUCAAACUGCCCCCCUGUGGUUUCAUUUUUAUCUUUUCGGUAUCUUUUUCGUUAAUAUUUUAUUAAAUUAUAUACAAAAAAACUUCAGAUAUCCAUCUAGAUUUAUCAAAUAUUCACUUUAGUACCCUUUAAAUUAACUUUAUCACUGAUUUAUAAAAAAAAAAAUGAAAUUGAUAAGAAAAAGAGAAAAAAGAAACCACAGGGGGGCAAAUUGAUACAUUUUAAAUCACAGGGGGGCAAAGUAAGAAACUACGAAACCACAGGAGGGUUUUUUGAAGUUUUCCCUAAUUUAAUUGACUAAAUAAUGAUAUGUCGUUGAUGUGGAAGUAAUACGACACGUUAAUAAUUGUCACUUUGUUAACCUAGUACUACUAAAUCACUUCGACAUUACUGACACACUAAUAUUAAGUAAAUUUAUUAGAUUAUAGAACUUGACUGUAACAAUUUAGAAAGUUUGAGAUGAAAGUUUUAACAAAUUAAAAUUUGAAGACCAAGCCUGAUUGUUUCACCAAAAGUGAAGUAGACUUUUGGGUGAAAGAAAGUUCAAAUAAAAAAUAAUUUCCUUCCACUAUUUAUUUCUAUAGCUAUCGAAUUAAAAUUUUCUAGUUUUUCUGUUUGUUUGGAAGAAAAAUGAGUUGCGUGAAGACUAAGUUGUGACAGAUGAAGUAAUAUUUUAUUUUAUUUUAUGUUUUCAUAAUUGACUUUCGGCCAGGGAUGGCAAAGUCAAUUACAUUAUUUUAAAAUAUUUGAAUUUCGGCAAAAUGUGAAGUUACGACAAAUCAAAUAAAAAAAGUGCAUAUUUAUAGCUAAAAAUCACUUCACCCCUCUUCUCCAAUUUAAAGCAAGGGUAAAAUGUUUGGAGAUCCUCCACAAUUAGUUUAUUUGCAAUAGGUGCCUAAACUUUCAAUUUUUGCAAAAAGACCCUUAUUUUAUUAAAUAGUUCAAUAAACCUCUCUCUUCAAUUAAAGUUAUUAAUUACACAAUUAUUUUGAUCUUAUAUAUUACAUAUAGUUUUAUAAAACUUCAAAAUAGUUUUUUUUUAAUAUGCUGACAUAUAAAAAAAAAAAUCUGUUCAAUCUUUUCUUCAAUUGUUAUGCCUCGGGCGUUAUCAAUACUUGAAGAGAAAAAAUAAAUCUCUAUAUACUUUUAAGUCUUUCAAAAUUGUGUGCAUGAUAUUCGAUCAAAACGAUUAUAUAACUAGUAAAUUCAAUUGAGAAGAAGAGUUUAUUGAACUAUUAAAAAAAAUUUAAGAAAUUUUUCUGUCAAAACUGAAAGUUCACGCAUCUAUUUUUGCAAAAGUGCUAAAGCUCAAGGUCCAUGUACUUUUUUUUUUCUUAAAAUAAAUCCAAGUAUUACUACCUGUACAUAGGGAUGCAAAUGGAUCCGGGGUUGGUGGAGCUCCUGCCCCUUACCAUCCCGAAUGGGGCGGUAAGUGGGAACAAAAAAUGUAGAAAAAUAUAAUCCAUCUCGAAUCCGCCCGAUCAGCCAAGUAAAUGGAGCAGGAUGUAGAAAAUCCUUUUCUUCCUUCAAUCCGUCCCAAUCCAUCAAAAAUCCGCUAAAAAAUCUGCUCCCGCCCCCGAUUCGCUCCGAAUAGGACGGUAAGUGGGACCCAGAAAUAAAAUAAAAAAUAACCUGCCCCGAAUUUGCCCUGUCUAGACAAGAAAUGGAGCGAGAGGUGUGGGAACCCUCCCGUCCCCGGAUCCGUCUUGUUUGCAUCCUUACCUGUAUGCUCAAAAGUGUAUAUUUUAUGCUCUCUUAUCCCAUGGUCAAUAAUGAAUUUUUUAAAUACUAAAAUUUUAAGGACAAAUUUGGUUCGCCUAUUUUAAACUGUAAAAUUGAAAUGAAAUUCAUUGGUUCCUAUAGUUGUUCUUUGUUUUACAAGAAUCGAAUUACAAUUCCUAUUCCGUUCUAUGAAAAUGGCCAAAUUCAUUUAUGACCCAAUCCGACUUUGAAUCUGGGAUUAGUUCAUUCCAAAUCUAUUCCAAUAAUAGACCAAAUAUUUUUAGAUAACUCAUCAGUCUAUUUUCAUUUCAAAAUAAUUCAAUUCUAUUUUUCAUUCAUAUUCCAAUCAUGGACCAAACUGUUGGCCUAGUGGUCCUAGUAUUUCAUUAGAUUUUUAUAAUAACAAAUAAUUAUAAUUAUUGGACUAAUCUUUUAUCUUGAGUUUUGCGUUUUAGAUCUCUCUAUCUUCAAAAGGACUCAAAAUGAGCAAUUCUCUAGUACCAAGCUUCACCAGUUGAAGCUAUGUUUGCUUCCUUUGUUAAAUAGACAAUUUCACUUUCUCUAUUCUUAUUUUGAUUAAUAUUAUGCCUUAUGAUUAAAGUGAGAAAUUUUGUCACUUUAUAGCUCACUUGAUCAAAUUUCUAACUUGUGAUAAGUGGUUUUUAUCUCCUUCUACAAGAUGCAUAGGAUUUUAUAAUAUUUAAAAUCUGCUCAAAAUCUGUUCUCUAUCAAGUUACUGUUCUGGACUCUAUUCUGGGCGCCCUAAAGUGAUCCGAAUCUCAUGUGUUUUUGGAUCCUGCCUAUUUGCUGUUCGAGUGGUCCAAAAAUUUCUUCACCUAAUCUAGGCGUCCGAAUGUCUGUUUAGGGCGACCGAAUUGUUUAACUUGACAGAUUGCGUGUUCCGAAUAGUACGACGGAUCGGCUCGAAAAAUUCUGAUGCAGCGCGGCGAAGGCAGCGCGCGUGUUGGAAAUCUGGGCGCCCGCAUCUUCUAGAAGCCCAAAUGAUUCCGCUCAGAGAAAGCGACGCACGUGGUCUGACUUGUUAGAAAAGCCGUCGCGCGUGAUCUAGGUGCCCACAAAUUCUGAAGGUCCAAAUGUACGAUUCUAGAAAAAGCGGCGUAUGUUGUCUAAUAGGCAGCUGGAAGUGCAGUGUGCGUGCACAACUUCUGGGUGCCCAAAAUCAUGUUUAGGGCGCCCAAAAGUGCAACAGACCGGAGCUGCCCGAGGCUAUAAGUAGAUGGCUUUGAGGCCUUUCUCAGCAGCAAUUGCAAAAUCCAUUUGAGCUUAAAAUUUUCAGUGUUUCUAAUACUCUUAGCUCUCAAUUAUCUCUCUAAAUUUGAGUGCAAUUUGUAAUGAGAUUUAAUCUUGUAAAAAAAGAGAAAAGCAAAGUCUUGAAACUUGAAAAGAAGAAGGUGUUGGCGUAAAGGCUUUGUGCUUGUCCGCAGAAGCAUCAGUUAGUGGAGAUCCAACAUUCUCUAGUAUUGAGAAGUUGGCGGGGACGUAAGCAAAGUGCCGAACCUCGAAACAAAUCGAUUGUGUGCUUUUUGAGUUUGCAUUCCUUUAAACUCCUCACUCUAUUAUUUGUUUCGGGUUUUUAAAAUUGCUUGAUUAUUUGGCUUUUUAUUUUAGAAACCUAAUUCAUCCCCCCUCUUAGGUUGUCAUUUUGAUCCUCACAAACAUGUCCUAAAAUACAUUCUCUUUUUUUCUAUUUUAUAGUGUAUAAGUAACUCUUCCUGCUCUAGAAUGAAAAUGACCAAAUUUAUUUAUGACCCAAUCCGACUUUGAAUCGGGGAUUAGCCCAUUCCAAAUCUAUUUCAAUAAUAAACUUAAAUAUUUUUAGAUGAUUCAUAAUUUUAUUUUUCAUUCUUAAAUAAUUUAAUUUAAUUUUUCAUUCCUAUUAUUAGGGGUGGCAAUCCACGCCAUUCGCGAGUCGGCUCGUGUUCGGCUCGAAAUGAGCUCGAGAUCAAAUCGCUCGUUUAGUAAACAAGCCGAACAUGAGUUGAAUUUUUCAGCUCGUUUAAUAAAUGAGCCAAACACGAGUUGGGAUCAACUCGCUCGUAUUCUGCUAGAUAAUAACUCGAAAUAUAUAUAUUUUAUAUUUAUAUAAUUUAUUUAAUUUAUAUUUAUAUAUAUUUAUAUAUAUAAAUAAAUAAUAUAUAUAUAUAUAUAUUUUUAUUACUUGACUUUUAGCAAAAAAAAAUAUAUAUAAAGUUGAGCUCAAUUUUGAAAAAACUUAUUUACAUGUAAAGUUUUAACCAUUAGAUCAAAAUCUAAUAGGUAAAAUUUUAUAAAUUUAUUUUUUAUAUCUAUUCAAUCUAAUUCAUUUAACUUAUUGCUCGUUCGUCAGGUCGUGAGUUAUCUCGUGUUCGGCUCGUUAUUAACGAGCCGAGCACGGACUAAAUUUUUCAGCUCGAUACUUUAACAAGUCAGUUCGUGCUCAGCUCGUUUAUUUGACCCAGCUCGUUUGCGUUCAGCUCAUUUAUUCUACCCUAGCUCGUCCAGUGUUCGGCUCAUUGACACCACUGCUGUUAUGGACCAAACAUGCCCUAAAAUAUGUUUGUUUUUUUUUUUUUUGUUUUUCUUUUUUUCUUUUCUUGGGUUGUAAAAGUAGCUUCUUUUCAAUAAACGCAUCUUUUGCAAUUUAGCUUUUAAACGCUUUUUUUUUUUUGGGGGUGUAAAAGUAGCAUCUUUGCAAAAAACGCAUCUUUUUCAACAAACGCAUCUUUUUUUCUCUUGAAGAAACGAAAGAGCAGCCUUCGUUCGAGAUCGCCUCUUCUUCGGCUUCUCCCUCUUCUGUCCGCCGCCCUUUUCUUUCCUGCCGCCGAAAGUUAACCCCCGAAAAAAAAAAGGAAAAAAAAAAAAAAUGGGCGUGACGAAGGAAGACGUGGAAGCCGCCCUCAACUCCGCCCUCAGCCCUUCCCAUCUCGUAAAUCCCGCUCCGAUUAAUCCUCUUCUCUUUCUCUCUCCGUUUCGCUCUUUAAUCGAAACCCUAAAUACAACUACAAGAAGCUCUUCUCCUUCUUUUAUUACUGUUUAUUCAUUUGGUUUUGAUUUUGGUUUUGGUGUUUUCGCAGGAGGUGAUCGAUACUUCCGGAGGGUAAGCGAUAUCUUUCUCAAUGCAUUCUCUCUUCUUUUUCAAAUAAAUAAAUAAAUAAAUAAAUAAAUAAAUACUCAUGCUAUGUAAUUUAAUGUAACAUCAGAAGGAUUUUUCUGUUCUUGUCAUGAUUGGCUAUCUUGCAGCACAGCCCCGGCCAAGUGACAGAGGACAAGCAAUCAUUAUAUUCUGGGUGUUUAUUUGACAACGCAAAAUAAAAACUUAAAAGCAAGUCCUCGUUUAGUAUCAUCGUCUUUGUUUUUUUAAAAAAAAUUUUAAACACUAAUUCUAUAUAAUUUAAUACGUUGGAAAAAACAAAUUUCUAUUUCUGUUAUAGUUCGUUAGCUUAUAAUACUUCUGACUAAGUGAUAGAUGACAAUUUACUUAAAAAGAACUUUGAAAGCAGGAAGAAAGUCUUUUUUUUUUUUUUUUGUCAAGUAAAUACUAUGGAUGAAAGGAUUGCACGUAAUUUACUGUUCAUCUUAUAUCUUUGGCUAAAUUAUAGAAAAUCUCCUAGCCAAAAUCUAAUUUUUCUUUUCCCGUCAUUUAAAAAUCUACAUUUGCCCUCUUAUAAAAUAAAAAAUGUUCGCGGGGUACGGUGUGAAAUGUGAUGAGAAAAUGACCAUUUUGCCCCUCAUCAUUUUCGUCUCCUCCCUCAUCUUGCUCAUCCGCCGUCUAGAUCGGUCGCGGUUCGCGCCUCGAUCGGUCGCGAUUUCUCUUUAUUUUCUUCUCCAUCUGCUCCCCUUCUCCUCCUGCAUCCUCGUCGCCCCUCUAUUUUGGCGACAGUAGGGAGGAAAUCGAGGUAGACGUGAAUGGAAAAGUGGGUAAGGGCGACGAGGGCAAAGGCGAGGCGGCGGAGGAGGGCGAGAGGUUAUUUGUGGGCGCGGAUGGACAUGUGGGCGAGGGCGAGGCAAUGAAGGAGGGCGAGGCGGCGGGGCAGAGGAGGGUGAAGCACAGUAGAGGGUAGAGGGUAUUUUUGGCAUAAAAAAUAUUUUAUAACCGAACCCUAAUGGAUCAUUAACGGUAGGGGGUGAAGUGAACAUUUUUUAUUUUACAACAGAUAUAGGUUUUUAAAUGACAGGAAGGGAAAGUGAAAAAUCGGGUUUUGACAAGGCGGUUUUCUAUAAUUUAGACUAUAUCUUUUGAUAUACAAACUUUAUCUUUAUCUUAAAAAUAAGAAAUAAAUACGAUACCAAACGAGGCAUAUUUUUCUUUUUUUUUUUUUCGCUUUGAAGGGUUUUCUAAAUGAGCUGGCAUUCAUCACUUGGCUUGCAAUGCAAGCUAAUUAACUAUGAGAAUAAGAUGAAAGUCUUUCUGCUGGCAUAUCAAUUUAUAUGGAAUUGGACAUGUUUGGUUUGAAGGAUUUGAGACUUGGAAUGAGAAUUGGAAUGGUCCGUUUCUAUUGUUGGUGUUUGGUUUGAGAGAUUGACGUUCUAAUUCCCAUUUUGGGGGAAUCGAAUCCCUUAAAAUGAUUCUCAUCAUGGAGAUUGGAAUCAACAUUAAUUCAAGAAGAGAUUGAAAAAAGAACUUUUUUUCACUAACACAUAUUUAAAUUUAAAUGUGGAAUAAAUUAUUAAUUUUAAAUUUGAAUUUGAAUGAUGGAUUCAAAUUCAAUUUUUAAUUUCCUAAGUUCAAAUUUAAGUUUUUGACUUUGAACUUGAAUUUGAAUUGUACAUAUACAUUUUAAGUUCAAAUUGUGAGUUCAAAGUUAAAUUUAAAUUUUGACUACAAUGUUGGAUAGUAAAUUAAAAUUUUAAUUUUUUUUUAUUUCAAUCUGAAUGUGAUUUCGAUUCCUAGUCCUCUUAGGAACCAAACGAAUUUGGAGUUUUUAUCAUUAUGUUUUCGAUUCUGGUUCAUUUUCAUUCCUAUUCCGAUUUUGAUUCCUAUUUCGAACCGAACGUGCCCUUAAUGGUAAAGAAAAAGGCAAUAAUACCAAACGAGGCCUUAGAUUUUUGUUUUUUAUUGUCAAACAAAUACCUUGGAUGUAAAGAUUGCAAAGCAAUCAACCAUCCUCUCCUGCACUAUUUCAUGUAGCAAUUCUAUCUAAAAAACAAAAAACAAAAAAAAACAACGAUGCCAAAUGAAGCCUUCGCAUAUUCAUCAUUAUCUCACAAUGUUUCUUUUAUUUUUUGGGAUAAAAGUUGUAUAUGAACCCUCUUAACCAUAUGGUAUUUUAACCUUAGGGUAUUUUGUAAUAGACCCGGCAAUUAUGUUUCUUUUAAUAUGAGUCAUGGAACAAUUCAUGGGGCUAUUCAGGAUUCAAAUGUUUAUCAAAUGGUUAUUCAGUAUAAGUACUAAUCACGUCAGGCCCAAUUUUAAAAAUAAAAACAGAAUUUGUGUUUUCGAACAUAUUGUAAAGGGCCUUAGUUUUUUUCCUUUUUUUCGUUUAAGUUAAUUUUAUUAAUUUAAAUCGAGAAUUUUUGUUUAGUCUGGCAGUGAUUUUGUUACUAACUUUUUUCGCCUAAUGAUAUUGUGAAUUUCUACCAUUAGUUUUAAUAUAUUUUUAUUUCAAUUUAGAAUGUAUUGAAUCAAAAUAAUCAGAAGUUUGGAGGUUGCCGAUCAAAAGAAAUAAAUGUGAGAACCAAUUUCAAAAUGGCCUACAUUUGAGGCGGUCCUUAUGCAAUUUGAAUCUUCCUUUUGCUGUAAAAAUGAGGAAAAUUAGGACGCGUCCUACAUUGGGCACGCCCUUAAAAGCUGAUAUGUAGCUUUGUGCGGGUUUUGAGCUGUAUGCAUAUUUCAAAAUGCAGCUGAUGCAAUAACCGUAGGAUGCGUCCUACAGAAUUUUGGUCCUAAAAAUGAUGUUUCACCGGUGAUAUUUGUGAAAAUAUUUGGGGGAAAAUUUUUGUAAGGUGCGGGGCGAGCUUUGAUAUCGAGAUCGUGUCGGAGAAAUUCGAAGGGAAGAGGCUGCUGGACCGGCAUCGGAUGGUGAAUAAUGCGUUAGCCGAGCAGAUGAAGCACAUCCACGCCCUCUCCAUCAAGAAGGCCCUCACCCCGGUACAGUGGAAGCCCAAAGAGGAACAAGAGGCCCGCAAAGAGUAACACAAAAAGAAUGCGAGGCCUCCCUUGAACAUUCGUUCAUUUGCAUACUGCUCUUCGAACUUUGAAAAGUUAAAAUCGAACUUUACAAAUCUUGUAGUUGUAUCAAUCAACCGUCCUGAUUUCUGUUAAUUUUUCCUUAAUAAUCAUCAAUUACACGAAAGCCAGAUGACUCGAAUAUACCUGUCGUACUGAAUGCUUGGCUUUUAUGCGAUCGAAGAUUGUUAAGAAAGGUUACUAUUAAUUUCCAGACGAGGUGGUCGAUUGAAAGAAUUAUGAAAUUUACGUUGUUUAUUUUUAACUUUUUAUUGUUCGGGAGGCAAUCUCUAAAUGUGCUAAUGUUCAGCAAGUCUCGCAUAUUUUUCCUAAGAUUAAUCAUCUCCAAGCUCUAAAAUGGAAAGGAAAUCUCUAAUUCCAUUUACUUAUCUAAGUUGUUCCCUUAUAACUGUCUGAUAAAAUGACUCAGGUCGUUUGUUUUGGUGCUUUGAGCUGGAAUAAUAUGUUGUUUGCCAUAUUUGGAUUAUGGGGAUUCAUAACACAGAUUCUUGUUGAUAAGUAGUUGAUUGAGCUUUGAAAGGGUUUGGAAUUACGAAUGUGAUCUUUUGGGCUGUUAGUUUUGUUGGUUUUCGUAUUUUGAGUGCACUAGUUGUUCUGCAGUAGGCUGGUAUUGAUGAGGCUAGUGUCUCUUUAACUUGGCGUCUCGAACAAUAUCUCGUCUCAAGAACCAGAAGCUGGGCAUUUCGCGAACAAUAGGACUAGAGCUUCUGUCUCCUGAAAUUUGAUGUUUCUGCCUCCAGCUUGAAUAGAAGCUUGUUUGUGGGAAUUGAAGUCACGGAUUUUUUUUUUUUAACAGCUCUACUUGAAUAGUAUUUCACAGGAUCUGAGUUCGUGCUAAGGAGGUCAUUGAGUUCUCUGCAGUGUACAAAAACUGAUGAAUGUCUUCUUAAGAUGUCCUCAGCUCUCUGUCAGGGAAUGUUUGGUUGAAAAUUUGCAUUAGAGAACUGUAAUUCAUAUGGCAAAUCUCAAAUGGUUGGAUCAAAAAGCUUUGAUUAUUGUGAUCUUUAUCAUCUUAAGAGGGAGAAAGUUUUCUGCAAUGGAACUUUCUUGCUGUGAUUUCCGGCUUUUAUCCAUGUCUAAAUGUUGUUGUUGUUUUUGCGUUUAGCGUGUUUUAAGAACUGUCCUAACAAAUGUGUGGUGUCUUUUAAGAAUUGUUCUGCGGAUACAAUUUCAACUUGGCAUUUCAAUUUUAAUUGUUCAUUUGGUAAAUUUUAACUUGGGUUAGCAAUUGUGCACCUACACUGUAAUUGGAGAUGCGAGUGGUUGAAAAAAAAAAAAAGAAGCAAUAAUUGCUAUAUUUGUUUUGUUUGGUUUUGCAUGGCUGCUAUUGGGUGUUAUAGUUCUAUGCCUACAACCAAUUCGCGCAGUUUCUAAUUGCACUAAUUGGUUAUCUUUUUACUACUUAGUUUGCGCGAGCAAUGCAAUAAGCAUAUUACUCUCUAAAACUCGAAAUAAUUGAUCGCUGAGAAGUGAUGUAGUGUCGAAAUGAUUCAAUAUAGUUUUAUCAGAAACAAGUGAUUCCAGUUAUGCGCAUUUUCAUAACUGCCAGAAUAAUAUGAUACAGUUCACAGCAGAGAGCAUGGAAUCUGGCAUGUUAUGCUCUGCAAUCUGAAGAACAUUGCAGCUUGCUUGCAGAAUAUGUGCAGAGAAACAACAUCAGAAGAUUUCUCAGCCCUUCAGUUAUCUGCUGAUUAAGGCUAUAAUGUUUUAAUGUGUAGAAACAAGAAUGCAAGCAGUAUGAAAGGGAAGGAAAGACAACAGAAAUUGCGAACCCCAAUCCAGUUGAUAAAGCUGGUCCGAUUCCAAAAAUAAUUGGUUUUGAACAAAAAAUUUCAGACAAAUUAUUUUGUCCGGAUAAAAUUCAGGGUCAAGAUUCUGGACAUAAAAUCUCGACAACAGGGUCGGUGACCUAGUUUUGCACUAAUAAUUUAAAUGGUGAGUUAUUAAAGCUAAAUUAUAUUAGAUUAUUUUCUAGUUUUUGAUAGUUUAUUUAGAAAUAUAUGUGGAGUGCUUUUGCUUCUUCGGUGGAGAUUUCUAUUGCAUAGGAGGAAGGAAGACAGAAGAAGUAUUUUAAAAAUUUUUGAACUUUUUAAAAUAUGAAAGCGGGUGCUUUUAAUCACUACAAAAUAUUUUAGUAUUCAUAGUUUAAUAGAAUAAUAUCCUUUCACUUAAGAAAAUGACUUGAAGGAAAUUUACUAUAUACUCAAAAUAUUUGAUCACGCUCUAUUAAAUACUAGAAGUUUCUUGAAUAAAUUAAGGUUUGUUUGAAAAUAAUAUUUGAUCACACUCUAUUAAAUACUAGAAGUUUCUUGAAUAAAGGUUUGUUUGAAAAUAAUAAAGUGGAGAAAAAUAAAGUGGCUAGUUUCAUAGAGCCACAGUUUGCUUAAACUCACAACUAUGCAUCAAUAUUCCAUGUAGUCAAAUUCUUGGAAGUAAGGCACACGUAGGUUGGAUCUUUUCAAGUUCCCUGAGAUUUAAAUAACACCAAGCGCUGGACGGUGCGCGCGCAUUCGGGCUCUGCCGACUCGUCGAUCUCUUCGACAAGUUGAUUUUUUUUGCGGCCGCCGACGACUUCCUCGUCAUCGAUAUCGAUGUCACAGUCGGAGAAUACCAAGGCUUCAAAUAAUGUUUAGACAUCAUAGGCAAUACCACACCAUUGUUAAAUAUUAAUUUAUAUUAUUAGACCAAUCUUUUAAAAAAUGCAACUUUUAUCCAAAUAGUAUAAUUUUCAUCAAAAAGAGCGUAAUAUUCUUCUCAAAUAGUAUAAUUUUUAAUGAAAUUGUGCAAUUUAUGUUAACGAUUCAACUUCAUCAGCUUCUUCUUUCUUUUAUGUUUCUUAGCUUUUUCUGUAGCAGCGAUGAUACAUAAUAACUUUGCAAGAAGGAAAAAAAAAAAAUCUUUACUUUUUUCUUUUUAUUGUUUAUUCUUUUUUUUUCUAUUAUUUGCAUUCUUUUUUCGCUCCUUAGAGAAGCACGGACCCUUCUUCGUCCUCAAUCUUACGGGCGACAGCGAGGAUGGUCAUGAUCUCAUCGUCUCUGUUCACUUCGUCCUCACCUGUACCCGCUCUAAGUCCUCCGACGCUGGCGUCGGCAGAGGUGAAGGCGAAGGCGGAGAAAGAGGAGACGGUGCCAUUCUCGUUACAAUCGUCGAAGGUCGCGGAGACAGUGGAGUGCCAUUCUCGUUACAAUCGCCGAAGGUCGCGGAGACAGUGGAGGAAGCGAUGGAGUCAAAGAGGAAUAAAAAAGGACGAGAAAAAAAAAAAGAUGAGUGUAAAAAAUUCAAAAAAGGCGAGAAGGAAGGUUAACCGUAUGGAAGAAGACGAGUGUGAAAAAAAAGAAAGAAAAAAAAUAAAAAUAUUUUGAUAAAUUUAUUUAAAAUCUAGAUCGAAACUAUAAAAUCUAAAAAUACGGCCUACUUACGUAAAAACUCAAAACCUUUACAAAAUUUGUUGAAUCAUUUAUGUAAAUAAACAGUACCAUACAUUUGAACAUCCGAUUUAAUACAAAUAAAUACCUCCCUAAAUCAAAGAGAUUUGUCGAGUAAAAUAUUAAUGCAUCCGACCAUGUGAGGAAACCGGUCUCCGCGGCAUAAACCCAAACCCAAAACCCUUCCGACUCCCAUCGCGGGGUAACCCGUCUCGUCGUCCCCGAACACCCACCUCAAACUCUUUCCCCUCUCCUCCUCCCUCUCCUCCUCCUCCUCCUCCUCCUCCUCCUCUUCGAUCGCUAGAUCUCUCUUACCUCCACCUCCUCCCAAUGCGAUCGCGAGAUCCUUCUACGCCCCCACGGCUGCGGCGGCGAUACGAUGGAUGUCGUCUUCUCCGGCGACGGUGAGCUUGCUGAGGCUGAACGAUCUGAGGGACAACGAGGGGGCGAGGAAGAAGAAGAAGCGGAAGGGGAGGGGGAUCGGGUCGGGGAAGGGGAAAACGGCCGGGAGAGGGCACAAGGGGCAGAAGGCGAGGGGGACCGCGAAGUUCGGCUUCGAGGGGGGCCAGACCCCGCUCCGGCGCCGCCUCCCGCGCCGCGGCUUCAAGAACCCCUUCAGCCUCACCUUCCAGGUGGAACCCCAUCCGGAUCCUUCCUUUGAUCAUCUCUUUUUCUUUUUUUUUUUUUGUUAGGGUUUAUGUUUAUGCUUUGUUUCGGUCCAUGAUCUCAUGCUAUCUCAUUCUCGCAAAGCAGGAUACUUUGGUUUUUUAGCUAGUCAUAAGAAUUGACAAGUAUGAGUUUAAUUUAUGUUGAUUGUAGGAUAUCUAACUGUUAAAAGAUGAAAAAAUAAUAAUGCGUGGAGAAUUGGAGACUCCUCGAGUAUCCGCCCAUUUUGAAGUGGACCUCUGGCAGCCACCCCUUACCUUUCGAUAUUCCCUUCGGCUUCAGGACUCUGAAUUUGAUGAUAGAAUUACAGAUUAAUUCAAUGGACUCCGUCAUUCAAACCAUGCUACAGCAAACAAAGCUUCGUAACAACUUUAGAGCAAUGUAUAUAGUGAGGAUAAAGUACUGCUAGAAAAGAUUUUUAGUUGUUCCUUUGUUUACUCGUCCGUUGAUGACCAUGUGGCUAUGGAAAGCUAAUAGUUGCCUGGUUUUUGUAUUGCAUUCUUCGAAAACAAUCACUUUUGUGCUUCAAAGUCCCUAAAACCCAAAAGGACUUUGAUGCUCUGUUCCUUCAAUGCCAAAUGAUGGUUUGGAAUGUUUAGCAGAGACGCAAUCCCGUUGCAAUGGACGGAUGGAGUUCCAAUGUACUUUUGGCUUUGGGAGGCUCUUAAGGCAUCAAAAUGGUUGCAUUUUGAGCUCAAACCAGGCCUUAAUCGAACGCAGCUCUAUUUUCUUUGUAUAUAUAUAGCUUUUUAGCUUACAUUAACAUUGCCGACUGAACAUUAAAAGAGAUUCAAACUGCCUCCUAUGGCCUCAUUUGGUUAGUGUUGCCUUUUUUUUGUUUUUACAAAUGAAAAUUCUAUGUGGUUCGAGCCUUAGAUGUGCCAGCGGAUGGACUUCCUACUCUUGUAAUCAUUGGCUAACUUGCAAUGCAACCCAAACGGAUGCCAAAAGACAUCUCCUUCGAGGACACAAAGAAGCAGAAAAAGUUUGAAUGGCUAAGUCACUUCUCAAUCCAACCACGCACUCCAUCACAUAGAAUUUAUGUUUACAUUUUAAAGAAACAAAAAAUGACGACAAUACCAAAUGAGACCUACAAGUUUAUGUAAAUAACGAGGAUGUUUUUAUCUCGUUAUCUUUUUAGCUAAAAUAUGUUAAAAAAUCUUAUCGAUAUGCCUUGCAUUUUUCAUCAAGGAUUCUGGUAAAUUUAUGAACAAGCCAUUGUAAACUUAGUGCUACCAAAACGUUUUCCUUUCAAAAUACCUAUCUUUUUUAUCUUCUUGUUUCCAUUUGUCUGUUGUUGGGGAUCCGACAUGGCUGAGUUAACCUAUUUGUUCAAACUAUGAUUGCACGAGUUUUUAUCUUAAUUGAAAGUGUUGUGUUUACUGUUGUAAGAUAUUCAUUUAGAUGAUAUGCUAUUUUUUAAGAUUUGACUUAUGCUGGAUUCUGUUUCAACUACUUGUCACACCAAAAUUGUGGUGGCAAUUGGAGAUUAGAAAUGUAGUUAUAGCUUAAUUGAUUUUAUAUUCGCUACUGCAUGAUCUAUAUUUUCCGGGUCUCUCACCUGUGCACAAAUUUUAUUAUAGAAACCUGCACCUUCCAUAUAUGUUCAAUCAUUGUAACUUUCCCCUAUCUUGAUCCGUGUAUCUUUAGAUGUUGCAUUGGUUUCACUCUUUUUAACUCGUUCUUAUUUACAUUUAUAUUGUGAACAGCCAGUUGGUCUGGGAAAAAUUGCAAAACUGAUUAAUGCAGGCGAGAUUGAUUCAUCAGAGCUUAUCACGAUGAAGACCCUCAAGGUACUUUCAGGUUAUUGUGCAUUUCUGCAUUUUACAGCUAUUUUGUCUUUUUAACAUGAACUAUGGUAUUUUCAUGAUGUUAGGAUACAGGUGCUAUUGGGAAGCAAAUAAAGGACGGUGUGCGAUUAAUGGGUCGUGGUGCAGAAGAUAUUAAAUGGCCAAUUCACCUUGAGGCAAGCUUCUUUUGUUUGUUAUCGUCUCUAAUUUCCAUCCAAGUCACUUGUUGAUCUUUGUGUGUAUCCUUCUGCUUUUACUUUUCUGUGAAUGUUAAACUGAACAUGCAUUUUUUAUGAUGUUUUAACUAAUAAAAGCAAACAGAAAAGUGUGCUCCAAUAAAAGGGCUUUUGUAUAAAUAUAUGGAAUAGUGCCGUAAUGUUAGCUAGUUAUGAGCUUCAAUUUGUCUUUGUGCUAGCUGCUUCCAGUUUCACCUUGCUUUCUAUGCUUCAUAAUCAUCAGUACUUCAAUUUAUGACCAGGUUGCAAUUUCAUUCUGCAAAAAUAACCAAUAGUUGAAAGUUGACUGUGAUAUACAAACUGAAUUAUUUAGAAACCAGCCAUUGUCAGGUUUUUGCUUCUGCAAAAAUGCAUCAUCUAUCACACAGCACUUGCUUGAUUGGGACUUUUGGCGAAUUGCCGAAGCUCCAUUCCCUCUGACGCUCAUAUCAGCUAUCGACUGCAAGUCUCUUGUUUUGUCUUUAUUGGCCUGCAACGGUGAAGGCAUCUACCAACUUGUUUCUGGUUGAGCCAUGCUCUGCAUGCCGCAACCUAUGGGACCGUGCUCCCAAACAGAUCCUGCGUUUAUUAUACCAUUGCAAGCUGCUUAAGCUCUUAAAAUGGAUUCCAAGGUGGUAACUAUAAAUUCCAUGAUGCAAGAACUAUUGUCUUGCUAGACAACAUUGACAGGAAAUUGGUUCAGCUCUAGAAUUCAAAAUUGUACUAGAAAUAUGCGCAAGCCCGUAACCACCAAUCUACUUAGGCUUGUUAAAAUAGAACACCAAGUCUAUGUACAAAUCUUGAUCAUUUAUUGCCUAUAUCACUCUCUGAGACUCUUGAUAUCACUCCCUUCUGACUUUGUUUAACUUGUCAAGCACGGACAUGCUGCUGUGUUGAAACAUUUUCAACCAGCUUGGUUUUGUAUAUACUGUAUAUUCAAAUUGUCACCAUUUCCCCCAAUUGUACGCAUGUUGAAGCUGCUCAGUCUCUCUCGGUGAACUUCAUGUAGAUAAACAUUUAACAGCCCACUUGUAUUUUUAUUCAAACAAAAUCUAAAUAGCUGAUCUAAAUUUGUCUUCAACUUUAGUUUAAGGCUGAAAAUAGAGAAAACCCACUAGAAAUAUGUGAUUUGCAUCAUAUCUACGCUCGAUAGUCGGAGCGUAACUGAUUGCCCCUCAAUUUAUUGUAAGGUCCUGCAAACUUUUCCCAUCUACAGAAGGAAGUGCAAAUCACAGUUUUAACAAUGGGGUUGAUUUUAGCUCUUCAUUUCCUACUGCACUCUUCCGUGCAAAGAGAUCCAAAAUGAUUAUUGUGCUAAUUAUAGUGUCCCAAUAAUCUUUUUCUUGUUUUGCUAUUACAUUUUUGUGAUGACUUCCUUUCCUGUGCGGUCCAUGACUUCUACUGAACUAAUCAUCUCGUGUUACAUUUCUACCUCAAUGGUGUGUAGGUAUCAAGGGUCACAGUUAGGGCAAAAGCAGCAGUAGAAGCAGCCGGUGGGUCGGUGAGGAAGGUCUACUACAACAAGCUUGGAUUUAGGGCACUUCUCAAGCCUGAGUGGUUCGCGAAGAAGGGGCGGCUUUUGCCUAAAGCAGCGAGGCCUCCACCAAAGCAGCGCGAUAAGGUCGAUAGCAUUGGCCGCCUCCCCGCCCCUACAAAACCGAUACCUUUUACACCUGAAGAAGAGAAAGAGGCCGCAGCAGCUAAGGUGGCUGCAUGAAACUGAAAAUGUUAACUUUGUUUCAUUCUGAUCGGAAUUUUGCUCGAUGCUUUUGGGAGGGCAAAAAUGGGCUUCACUUGUACUUCUGUAAACAAAAGCAUGUUGGGUUUUAUUUAUUGGAUCGGAUUCAAUCUGGUCAUCUGGAAGAAGAAUUUAUUGUUGCAGUGCCAAUUUUCUCUUUCUAUUUUUUUGUUAAUUUCCAUUUGAUACAAUAGAGAGUUGAACUGAGAUGAUCUGAUAAAAGAAAAGAUGCAUGAUAUGGAAGCAUGCUCAUGUUUUCAUGAUUCUAUGUAUAUGUUUGGUGUAUUCUGGGUCACGAAAGUUGUUGAAUAAAAACGUUGAUUCAAAGAACUAGACCAUGCAAUUUUACAUGUACACAUAUUUUCUUGUACUAAGGUGGAACGCGAACUUACACACCAGCAUCAACCAGUUUAUACUUUAGGGAGGAAAAAAAGAAAAAAAAAGAAAAACAAAAGAAAAUAACUGUGUUUAAUGCAACAGUACACGCAUGCCUAUUACAUUUUCAUUGUGCUGUUUCUUCUCUAUGUUUGGUUCAAAGGAUAGAGGAAGAAUAAGGAAUUUAUUCCUCUUAUUCUUCCAAAUGGUGUCAAAUAACGCCAAGAAUUACUAUUCUCCUCUUAACGGAUUAUUCCGAAAUAAUCCGUUAAGAGGGGAGAAUAGUAGUUCCACCUAUUGGGUGGAACAAGCUAUUCUCUACUUUAUUCCUCUACUAAUUAAAUUAUAAAUAAUUAUAAAUUAUAAUUAAUUAAUGCAUUUAAAUUUUUUAAUAAUUGACUAAUUAAUUAUUUAAGUUAUUAAAUUAAUAAAUAUUUAAAUAAUAAUCUAUUUAUAAUUUAUUAUUAUUUAUCUAAUUAAAUAGUUAGCCAUAUAUUCAAUUAUUUACUAAUAUUUAUAUUAUUUAAAUAAUUAGUAUUUUAAUUUAUAUAAUUAAUAUAUUAACUAAAAAAAUAAAUGAUUAAAUAAUUAAUUCUAUUAACAUGUUGACUUAUUUUUUAUAGUUAUUUUCUAAUUAAUGUCAUCUUUGUCAUCUCAUAUCGUAAUUUUAAUUAAUUUAUAAUGUAAUUUUGAUUAAUUUAUUUAUUAACUUAUUAAAAUAUUAUUUACUAAUACUUAGGUGCUUAAUAUUUAGAUAAAUUAGUUUUAUUUUCAAUCAUAAUUACUCUUAUCCCUACUAUUCCAACCCAAUCAACCAAACGUAAUUUUUCUUAUUCCUCUAAAAAUCUCGAUUCUCGUCCAAACACAAAAUUGAACUAAUUCCUACUCAUCACAAAAGUUACACCUAUCCCAUGAAUAAACAAAAAUUGGUUGUUCUCGAACCAAACGGUAUCUUAGGGAAUUGGUAUAGAGGAACUGGCAUAACAGAGCUAGUUUUGCUAUCAAUGGCACAAAAGUCAUAAUUUCUGUUAAAAUAUAGUGCAAUCUGCCGUGGCAAUAUGCAAUAGUGGAAGUGUGGAACCAAUACUUUUAACAUCGAUUUCUUUCCCUUCUUGAUAGGGUAAUGCUGUUUAAUCAAAAAGUGAACAGUUAGGGAGGCUGUCCGCUCCAUUAGGGCCCUUGGAUUUGUGGUUUUUGGUCUGGAAUGUUGUAGAUUGGAGAGCCGAAAAUAUAUAUAUUCGGGUCUUCAAUUUCGGAGCGAACAUCAUUACUCUACAAUGAAACAGCAUGUUAAAUUCUAGCAACAUAUAUUGUAUCUGCUCCAGUAGUAAUACUGAACUAGUUCUUCGAUCAUCGAUUUCCUUUCGUUCUUUGUAGGAUAAUGCUGUUCAGUCGGAAAUGGGAGAGCCGAAAAGGCUUUCCAAUUCCGGGCCCUUGUAUUGCGGGUUUCAGCCUCGGCAAUCCAAGAGUCCCCCAUAAAUUGGAGAGUCCAAUGUAUUUAGCUCUCCAAUUUCGGGGCGUACAGCGGUACCCUGCAAAAGAAACAGCAUGAAGGAGCUGAUUGAAGUCGGUAUUUAAUGUCUCUUGCAUCAAAGAAAACUUGUUUCUUAUUAUGCCUUUCUAUUAUCUUAAGGCAGUAUAAACUGGAUUGAUAUUAAUAUUCACUAGUUAAGGACUCGCGCGAUGUUGCGGACGUAAUGCGACGGGAAGACAAUAUUAUUUGUCUUAAAAAUUAAAGAAUAAAAUUAAAAUAAAUUUCUUUCUAAAAAUAUUUAAACCUAAUAAGUAAAAUAAAUAAAUCAGUUUAAAAUAAAACAAAAGCUUAUUACAGUAUUAAAAAAAGAUGAAUAAUAAUUUUCUAUUAUCAUCAAGGUAGAAUUUAUAAAUAAAAAAAUAUCGCGAUGAGUCAGUUACAAUAUAUUUUUUGUGAUCCCACCGGAGGACGCAGAAGUAUAUUCCUAUAUGCUUUUAUCCCAACUCUAUGUUAUCUAAUAGUGUUAAAUAUGCCUCAAUACCAGCCUUAUAUUAGAUAGUUUUAUCUUGUUAAAAUUAAAAUUUAUGCGAUAAAAUUUUAUACUUGGUGUAGAUAAAAAGAAAAAAAUGUUGAGAGAAAAAAAUAAAAAAAGAAAAGGUGUAGGGUGUGUGAGAGAGUGAGAGAGAGGGUGAAAAAAAUAGUGGGACCCAUCGAAGCGCCCCGACAAACGCGGAGAGGCUUCGAUUGCGUUGCCCUUUCAUUAUAUAAUAUAAUAUAAUAUAUAGAUAUAGAUAUAAACAUACCUUGUGUUGCUAAACAUUUUUUUCCACAUUAAAUAUAUCUUGUUCAAAAUAGUAAGACAUUUUUUUAUCGUUUUAAACAAAGGCAUCGAAAUAUAAACAUAGAGCAAGUAUAGAUUUUAAUUAAGCGAGUAAUGGAAAAUAAAAUGCAUGUAACAUAAAGAGAUGAAAAGGUUGUAAUUAAUUAGUUACAUUAUUAAACUGUUUUAAAAAUUUAUCGAUGAAGUCAGCAAAAAUUUAAGAAAGAUUAAAUUAAGGAAACUCUGCACAAAAUUUUGAUAACUGAUCAUUAGUUUAUUUUAAUUAAGUGAGUCAGGCAAGAAGAAACCAAAAGAAUAUAAUUAAUUCGUUACACAUUUAUUUAUUUUUUAUUUAAGUUUAUCGUUCUAGUACUGAAAGAAACAUACUUGUUUAGCCAAAAAUAUUAAUUUAUGUAUUUUUAUACCAUCAAGAAGUACACUUUAUGAGAGUAUACAUCAACAUAGUUUUACCUUACCUUACGAAAGUAGAAGACAUGGACCCCAAAUUAUUCUAGAAAAAAUACAUGGAUAUAACUGUCUUGAUCUAUAUCAUUUUGGAUCCUCCCCACAAAAUUAGGAGAUAAAGCCAAGAAAAAUUACUCCUCCUUAUUAAAGUAAAAUUAAAGUAAAUGGGCCCCAAUAACUCUACUAGAAGUUAUAAUAAGUUAUAAGUGUAUAUAUAUAUAGUAAGUUGGAGAAGAUUUUAUAUCAUGGUUGAUGUUGAAGGAUAAGCAGGUAGAGACAAAGUUAAAGGUUCAUGCAUCCUAUGUUUGAUGUUAAACAGCAUUGCUAUAUAUAGACAAACUUGGGGAGGAUGCAUGCAUCGGAAUUAUAAGAAAGAAAAGAAAAGGAAAACAAAUAUUCUAUAUACUAUAGGAAAUCUUAUAUGAGAAAAGUUUAUCUUGUGGAAAAUUAUAGUUCAGUCCUCAAUUGUUUGUUUUGUGACAUUUUAUGUUUAGAUAGAUUUGAAUUUUCAAACCAGUAGCACAUUAAUAAAUUAAGUAAACUAAAAAUUCCAUUGUUAGUGGUUAAGUAAAUUAUUUUUCUGGGACAAUUUAAUAAUUUCUGAGCUUUCAUGAUUUCUAGGUCCGUUAUGUUGAAUUAUUGGAAUGAAUUCUAACAACCCAUGGAUAAAUAUAAAUAUUUUCCAAAUAUGAAAGUAAUAUGGUAGUAUUACAAUUAGCCAUAAAAUUAGCUAAUCCAAUUUAGUUAUAUAAAUAUUGGGCACAAAAUUAAGGUACUUAAUUCACACCAUGGCAAAUUUUCUUAGACUUGGAAGAUGAAAUGUAGUAAAUAUAUGUUGCUAAAUUACACUGCAGGGCCUUAAAUUAGAAAUUUCAAUACAAUUCGUUGAUCAAAUUUUAAUUUACCAUAUUUCCUAGGUUGGUUUUGUAAACUAUUAUAGCAUGGCAGAUAACUACUUAAGGCAUAUAAUUGCAGACAGUUGUGUAAUUAUUAAUAUUUGAUGAAAAAAUAUAAAAGUGAUGCAAAUCGCUUGUAUGUUUUAUGAUAGAACUUCUCUAUCUCUUUUUUAAAAUUCUUCUUUACCAAAUUCUUUUCCAUAAUUUCUAUUCUCCACUACAUCCCACAAAUCUUGGGAUUCUAAAAAACAUCGAAUGAUAAUUUUCCAUCGUUUAAAGUUCGUUCCAUCGAACUUUGGUAAAUUAGGUUGAAUAAACCAAUCUAAAUCCAUAACAAAAACUUGAUAACCUAAAAAAUAAGUUUCAGAUUUGCACCUUUUUAUUUGGAUGACGUCCCUAGUUCAUCGAAAUCUCGCCGAAUUUUCUGUACUUCGGCUUGCUUGCCUAGUCCUCCUGGCUAUCUCGUCAAGUCUUCUUGGAUCUCUUCACAGGCUCUCCUCGCUCUCUUUUCGUCAAGCAUCACAACCACCUGCUGUUGUGUAUUGUGCGGAGGCCAACUUCUUCAAAGCAAUUCUUUCGCUUUGAUUUCACCUGAACGUCACCUUCAAUCUGCUACGAAUCGCUUAACUUUGACGUAGCUAUCCGGUAUAUUGGAUCUAUAUUCUUUUCGAAUAUGCUGUCAUCUGGUUUAUAAGUUGCAUGACACUUUCCGGCUCUGAUACUAAUUGUUGGAAGCGUGAUUUUCUCCGAAACCACUUAUCGGAACCGGUAUUUGUGCUAAUAUCGAUUAUAUAAUCCAAGAUUUAAAAUAGAACAAAAUAAUAUGAAGAAGAGAUAUUGGAUGAGAAAGAAGAUAACUAAAAUAAUAAGCAAUUAAUUACAUUCUGGACAACACCCUCAGCCAUGUCUAUUAUGGCUUAUUCAUCUAAUUAACCCAUGCCUAACUAUAUAUAGCCAUCAAAUCAUAACAGAUGAUAAAUCUAACUUUAACUUUGGAUAACUACAAAUCUUAACCAUAAUCAAAUAAAAGAUUUAAACUUAUCUAUAACUAUAUUUUAAUUAAGUUUGGAUUAUUAUUUUCAACACAUCUGCAUAGGGCCAGCCAGUCAACCCAGAGAGCCAUAUGUUCUAUCCCAACAAAGAAUAGGCGAAACGAGCAACAUUGCCAAACACUCCCAACAGCAGAUUACAAAUGAGUCCGGAGUACAUCCAACUCAUAACUUCAAUUUCUUUUAUAAGGGGUACUACAUAAAAUUUUUGUCAAGAAAAAAAAACACGCUCAACCAAGGACUAUUAGUAAUAUAACCUUUUGAGUUCGGAGUGUUAAAUCGGUGCUCUGGAUUCAAAGAGCCCUUCUAAGAUAGAACAGUAACCCCACCUACUGAAAAGAGGAUUUAAAAAUUAUGAUACUUUCCCUAAGGACCUCCUGGUCGAAGGCGAUGUUGUGGACUUAAUGGCAACAUGCAGAACAUGGUGACAAAUGGUCGGCCUAAUAGCUGCUCUUAAACUCAGAAGAUAGGAAAGAUAAGACCUACAGAGCAAAACCGUGCUCCAUCAAAUUUCGGCUUUCCCCAUUCACACCCUUCUAUAAAGGACUUGAAUGAACACGGCAGGAGCCAGUGAUAGCUGCGUUCCUGUGACGUGCAUUGUAAGAUUGUAUCAUAACAUUGAAUUAGGUAACAACACUUACGGCCAGCCUUAGUACUGUAACCUAAAGGCAGAGGGCCACACGCAGAGAAAAUCAAAGGGCCGAGGGCGGCAGAAUUAGUACUGCAACCUUGUGGCCGAGGGCUCUGCACACAGCAGCAGAAGCAGCACUAUGAAGCCACAAUGGCAGCAUAAAUGUGAUCACCCUCCAUACAUACAGCAACUCAUAAAAGCAGCUGCAUUUGGAAAAACACAUUCAUAGAGCAUUACCAGAUUAGGCCUAAUAUGGUCAAGGCUCCCAAGCAGAGCAGCCCCGUAUCCAGCAAAAUUGGAUGAUAACUAGCAGGUCAAAGUACACUAGGCACCACAGAAGAUUAUCAAUCCCUAUCCUGUUAUGACAUUGCCAUUGCAAAAAUUCCUAAGGAUGAGACAACUACACCCAAAUGAAACUGCUCAAAUAUAAUGGAUCACAUAUUAUGAACUACGAAAUCACACGCAAACAAGCUUCACUUAUGAGGUUUACGCCCUAAAGAGGGAGUAAAACACGAGCACAAAAAACAAAACAUCAGCAAUACACAAGUAUACCAUCUAACAUCUCGUUAACGUCAUCUUAGCUGCAGUACACAAAUAUACACGAACACCAUCCAGACAACCAAGCCAUAUAUCAAAGCAUACUUUCUCAUACAUCCUAUAUAUUGACAUAACACUAGAAACGCCAAACCAACGCCGCACGUUCUACUACCACUAUCGAUCCAGAGAUAGGAAGUAAAACCGCAUGAAACCAAACAAAAUGGCUCAACAAACCUAUAAAAGGCAACCGAGACAAGAAGAACAGAGGGUGAGAGAGAGUUACCACAACCUCUCCAAUUUUCCCUCUGUGACAGCAGCUGCCUCUGAAAAUACCUGUAGUGCUUUUUUAUGCAAACCUAAAGUUCAAGCAUAUUUACUUAUAUACUUCUUUCAGGAGCCAAAUCUCAACCUCACAAAGCUUACAUCACUAGAAAAUACUUGAAAAGCCGCAAGAACAAACUAGAAACAGCCAGCUAAUGCAUGAAGCUUUUUGUUUAGAAGCACUUUCUGUGGACGAUUGCAGGGCCAGAUUCAUCGUACUCAGCCUUUGAGAUCCACAUCUGUCAUACAAAGGUACCGUCGUUAGAAAAAGGUGGUUAAGGGACACCAAAGAGAUGAAAGAUACUGUUGUACAAAGAAAAUGAUUUAUGCAAAAGAGCAAAAAUUUGGUUAAGGGACACCAAAGAGAGGAAUUUACUCCCCAUCUUAGUACUCUAUGAAUGCACCAAAAAGUUCACUCAAAAAGCUAUUGAAAUCAAAUCAGUUAGUCCAGAAUACACACAAAAACUAUAACUAAAACCUUGAAUUUCAUAGAACGGUACUUUUCUUAUCAUAGAUGGUAAUUUCAUCUAAGAGGGAUUUCUCGUACUCACAUAACUCGAAGUGCAGAAAAGAAAGUUCGAUAUUUGACGACGGGGUGGAAGGUAUGUAAGAUUGAGCAUUUACCUGUUGGAACGUGCUGAGAGAAGCAAGAAUAGAACCACCAAUCCAGACACUGUAUUUCCUCUCGGGAGGUGCGACCACCUUAAUCUUCAUGCUGCUGGGCGCAAGUGCCGUGAUCUCCUUGCUCAUCCGAUCAGCAAUACCAGGGAACAUGGUCGAUCCUCCACUAAGCACAAUAUUCCCAUACAGAUCCUUCCUGAUAUCGACAUCGCACUUCAUGAUAGAAUUGUACGUGGUCUCAUGAAUUCCUGCUGCUUCCAUACCAAUUAAAGAAGGCUGGAAAAGCACUUCGGGGCACCUGAACCUCUCAGAUCCUACAACCAGGGGGAGAGCCAAAUUUUUUGUUAUUAGUGGUGGCCAUUGAUUUCAGAGAUAAGCAUUAGUAAUCAAAUCUGAUAAAUUGAGAAAAUCUUCAAGUAGUAUGCGUAUCAUAUUUGUCCAUUUCAUGUGCUUGUAAAGAACCUAAGAGACUUCUGAGGACAAAGGAUUUUCAAAUCUGAUAAGAACUAGAGAAACUGUGUUGAAAGCGGGGGACAUAUCAACAUCAAUAUUUUGAAUAACAAGGAACUGCGUAAUAAAUUUUGGGUAAAAUGCAGAUUACUUCCAAGAUAUAUCACAAGACACUUCAACAACCUCGUGCAAUCAAAACAUCCGAACAAUUCACUUUGGUUUAUUAGAAAAUCCGGUGCUUUAGUCCUUAUACAGUGGAUAAAACGUUAAGAGAUUUAUAAAUCUAGGGCAUUACUGGAUGGUUUUGAUUAUCGAAGGGGGUGAAGCGCAAACUACAAUAUAUUGAGCAGAUGAUGGCAUUUUACCCUUUUUUUUUUAAAUGUAUCAAGGUCAAUGUUGCAUGAUCCUACAGUAAAUUUCUGGAUUCAAGAUCAGAGUUGCUGGAUCCUUUAAUAAAUUUCUGGUUUCUAGGAGAGCUCCAUUCAUACCUAUAGUGAUGACCUGGCCAUCAGGUAAUUCAUAAGUUUUUUCAACUGAAGAACUGCUCUUAGCAGUCUCCAACUCCUGCUCAAAAUCUAAGGCAACGUAGGCUAGCUUCUCCUUCAUGUCUCUGACAAUUUCCCGCUCAGCAGUGGUGGUGAAGGAGUAGCCUCUCUCAGUGAGGAUCUUCAUCAAGAAGUCGGUGAGGUCACGUCCGGCAAGGUCGAGCCGAAGAAUAGCGUGGGGGAGGGCAUAUCCCUCGUAUAUCGGGACGGUGUGGGUCACACCAUCACCAGAAUCAAGCACGAUACCUGUACAAAAUUGAUUUAGAGUUAUUACCAAUUCACAAGUUUUGAUUAAGAACUUAGGGCUAAUGCACAUCUGUUAUAGCAAUCAAUUCUAACAGAAAAUUAGACAAGCAUAAAUUCCCGAAGCUUUUCUAUAGUCAAGAACUAAAAUUUUAUACCCCAAAAGCAGAAGGUCCAAUUUGGAGCUUCUAUAUUCGCUGCAGAGAAGCUAUUGAGGGAAGCUGUUUUCAGUGAGUCUCCUAAGAGCACUACUCAAGCCAGCCUUCCCGCUCAGAGUUUCAAUGUUCACAACUUAACCCAUGAAGUUCAUCCCAUAUAGCAAUCAAGUCUUUCCGUCAAUCUAUCAUCCAAAAGACCAUCACACUAAUAACGUGGUUGGAUUUCAAUGCUAAAACAGCAUAAAAAACUCAGAUUUUUUUUUAUGGAAACUAGCAAAAGGGCGUAAUUGGGAUACAAGAUAAGCUUCAGGAAUUACAUUGCUGAAAUAGAAUACAGACAGAAGUUUAAUCAGGUACAGACUUCAAGGACUAUUUGAAAGGCAACAAUUUCGAGAGAGCAUUCAUUUACUAAAGCACACUUUGUAGUGAGUAUGUAAACUUUACAAACAUAAAUUUCACAAACCCAUCAUUAUUUUCUGUUUCCAAAGUCCCCUCGAGUAUUAUUAUAAUUUAAUGGUUUCCAUCAAAAGUCACAGAAUAUACCAUCAAGUGAGAAAAUAUUUCUAAAUAGUUAGGAAUACUGCUAACUACUGAUAGAUAGGAACUGACUCGAAUAUAAAGCUCUUCGUUUUUGCCAAUUUGUAGUUGAACAAGAAAAUUAUAUUUGCUCAGCAAUUCAAUACAUACCAGUAGUACGGCCACUGGCAUAGAGGGAAAGGACGGCCUGGAUAGCAACGUACAUUGCAGGCACAUUGAACGUCUCAAACAUGAUCUGGGUCAUCUUCUCCCUAUUCGCCUUUGGGUUGAGAGGAGCUUCAGUCAGCAGUAUAGGAUGUUCCUCAGGAGCAACACGGAGCUCAUUGUAGAAGGUAUGGUGCCAGAUCUUCUCCAUGUCAUCCCAGUUGGUGACAAUACCGUGCUCAAUUGGAUACUUCAAGGUGAGAAUACCUCUCUUGGAUUGAGCUUCAUCACCCACAUAGGCAUCCUUCUGGCCCAUACCAACCAUAACACCAGUAUGCCGGGGCCGGCCAACAAUGCUGGGAAACACUGCCCUAGGUGCAUCAUCACCAGCAAAUCCAGCCUGCGAGAAUGAAUGGAGAGUAAUUCAGGAUGCAAAAUGUAGAAAUACAGAACAAUCCUUUUUCCCCCUUGUUUUUUUUUAUUUGAAGAAAAACUGAGGCUGUCUGGAUGAUAUGUCAACCUUCACCAUUCCAGUUCCAUUGUCACAGACGAGUGGCUGAAUAUCCUCAGCAUCAGCCAUUUUUUAUGUUUCUGUCAUAUGAAUAGAAAGACAAACGAGAAGAAAGACAAACAUAUUAUAAUCAAGUAAACCAACUUUACUGCUAUGUUGAGAAAAUGCAUUUCAAACAUAUUCAUCAUACCCAGCAGGAAAGGAUGAGAAUCACAUCAGUAUCUGAUAAUCAAAUUUAUUUAUUCCGACUAAUAGCAGGGUAUCUCUCUAUAUGAUUUCCAGAUUCAUUAUUAUCCUCGAUUUUCAGCCACAGAAAUCAAUUGCCAACCAUACCUUCCCUCUCAAAAUAAAUGAAAUAAUACUAGAUAAUUUUGCAUGAUGUGAGACACGAACUUUUUUCAAGGAAUACUGAAUGCUUGACAAUCUAUCUUUAACAAAAUUACAGUUAUUGGCCUAUUUCAAGUAGCAAGAAAGACACUAACAACAGUUAAACUUUCAGUAAGAACUAGAAGUGAACAGAUGUGUUAAGAUGCAAGAAAUUUUUACGAGGCCUACUGCAUAGCUAAAUGAACUUAAUAGCUUAAGUGACAAAAUCAUAUAAUAUUUGCACACGAACUAACAAAAUUCAGAAGGGAAAAAAAAAACAUGAUAUCAUAAACUGAUCAAUCUUCUAGAGGUGCUUCAUACUAAGAAAUUCACAAAUGCAGGUAGUUUGAGCAAGUAAAGAAAGGGAAUUAAAAAGAUCCAAAUGGGACCAACUAACAAAAUAGCAAGAGAACACAGCAUGUAAAGGACAAGACUAGCAAAUAGCAAUCCUUGAAGACCUUCAAAGCAAAUCCAGAAAGACCAUCAUUAAUAUCCCAGAUAUAAUUGCCGUACAUGUUUCGGGCAAAUAAUUGUAAAUUCCCUUCUACAGCUCACAAGCAUAGUAAUAAUUAUUUGAGAUCAAAGAAAGAUCACAGAUGAUAAUCGAGCUCGGAAAGUUCUCACCUGAACUAAUAUAAAUCAAAUCUCAGACAACUUUAUCCAAUAAAACUCUACCCCACAGAAUAAUCUACAAAUCAAAACUAGAAGAUCAAAGAUGACAAUCAAACUCAUUAGAUUUUGAGCCAAACAAUAUGCAUCAAAUUUUAUAACAACUUUAGCUACAAAAACCCCAAACAACACGCACCAAUCUACUAAUUAAACCUGAAUAUCACAGAUCACAAUUAAACUCAGCAGAUUUUGAGCUGAAAUAUAGAUCAAUUUUUUUCAGAACUUAACAGAUUGAUUGAUCAAAAGUGGAAGAUCAUAAAUGAUGACCACACACCGAAGAUUUUUUAUCCAAAAUAAAUAAAUCAAAUUCUAUAGCAACUUCAUCUUACUUUCAAAUAAAUAUAUACUGACAUCAUCUUCUAAAACCCUAACCUCCUGCACCGAUCUACUCAUCAAAACUUGAAGAUCAUGGAUGAUGAUCAAACUAAGAAGAUUUUGAGCAAACCUUAAUUCAAUAACAACUUUUAAAAUGCUAUAACCCUAGCCUCACACACCGAUCUACUAGUAAAAACUAAAAGAUCACAAAUAAUCAAAUUCUAUGACAACUUUACGGACUAAAACCCUAAACUUCGCGCACCGAUCUUUAAUUAUCAAACUCAGAAUAUUUUGAUCCAAACAAUAUAAAUCAAAUUCUAUAACAAGCUUUACCUCCUAAAACCCUAAACCCCACGCGCCGAUCAACCAAUCAAAACUAAAAGAUCACACAAAAUGAUCAAACUAGCAAGAUUUUGACCCAAACUAUGCAAGUCAAAUUCUUCAACAACUUUAUCUACUAAAACCCUAACCUCGCGCACCGAUCUAUUAAUCAACUAAUAAAAACUUCAAAAUCUAUGCAUCUACUCAGAAUUAAGACCAUUUUUUAGCAAAAAUCAACACAUCGGAUGAUUCAGAGAUCGGCUAAAGAAAGUGCUUCGCCGAUACCGCUGUAGAGAAGACGAGAUCAGAGAUGAAUCGCCUCCGCUUCCUCCGCUCGUCGAAGCCAAGAGAAAGAACGAGAAGAGGAGAGAGAGAGAGAGAGAGAGAGAGAGAGAGAGAGCGUGUAAAGGGCAAUGGUGUCGUGCUCUUAAAUAGUAGGCGUACUAAAUUCCAACUCUAGGCAUACUUUUCGUAGGUCAAAAUGUAGUGAGACUCCUCAACUACAUCAUAUUUUGAAAUCCGUACCUCAACUUCAUUUUUUUGUUAACAAAGAAUUAGUUUGGUAUUGAGAUGAAUCUAACGCUAUUAGGUAGAAUGGAGUUGAAAAAAAAUAUAAAGGAAUAUACUUCUACGUUCUUCGAUGAGACUGUAGAAAAUAUAUCGUAACCGACUAACCGCAAUAUGCUGAACGCAGUAUCACGUAGGAAACAAACAUGGUAUUUUCUCAUCGUCUUUUCUCAACGCAUAUAAUGCAACCUUCCCGUAAUCCCAAACAAAGCCAAAAUAAUACGUUAAUUAAACCGUCUUAAAUUUGUCUCAAUCGAUCACUCGAAAUUAUUCAAAUUUUGAAAUAUAAAUUUUAUUUUUUUCAUUAUUAACAAAAAAAAUAAAAAGAAACUAAAAUUACUGUUGUAAAAUAUAAUAUUUAUAAAUAAGUCAUAAAAAUUAAAAAUUUAUAUGACCUUUUUAAAGAAUUUUUAGAGGUUUACAUAACUAAAUAUAAUCAGAGCAAAGCUAAAUAUAAUACUUAAUAACUAGGGUGGAUUUGAUAACUUUUUUUUUGACAUUGAAUGAACUUUCUUUUUUUAGUACAAUGCAUCCAAACUGAAUUAUUAUUAUUUUUCAACAGACAAAUUUGUUACUAUUAAAUAGAAUUAUCAAUUUAAAAAAAUUAAAUUAAGUAAAAAAAAUAAAAAUUAGUCAAUUAAACAUUGCGAAGUUAAGGAUUCAAUUCUGCAAAUAGCAUUUUCUACUGCUUCCUACGUAUAAAUCCACGCCGAGACGAGUCAUCUAGCAAUUAGGCACGUGGCAUGAAACAGUUGGGCCCGCGUCACACGUGUCAUGUUUCUGUGGUUCGUGAAGGGUGUUUCGUGUUCUAGAACGAGUAUGUACGUAAACUUACCGUGAGAAGGAAUCGUCUCGUAUCACGAGGGAGGGAAAGAAAAAAAAAAAAAAACAAAAAAGUUGAAGUGGGGGCCAGCAGAGUGACCUGGGUGGGUCCUCCUACGUGGAAUCUGGACCGUAGGAUGGGAUUUGGACGGUGGGUCAAACGGCGGGCGAAACUUUCGGCGGUUGCGGGGGGCCGGGGGGCGGUGUUGCCACGUCAUCAGGUGGCGUGACGCGGACGUGCGGGAGUCCGCAUAGGGGUAGAGAAGGGGCGCGGCCGCACGCCAACCAACAACAGCUGGCGACCAUUAGAGCGAGCACGAGCUUAGGAGACAAUUUGGGAGUAAUUGUGAUAUUUUUGAAGGGAUCAUCUGAAAAAUGCUAUCUUUGCAAGUUACAACCAACUCAUCUAAUGGGUGGGAGUGAAUCACUAGUCACAUUACAUGACUACUAAAAUCAUCUCAUCCAUUAAAUGAGUGGUAUAUAACUCAUUUUUCAAUAUUAGAGAAACAUAUGUAGAAUUUGGUUAUUUUGUAGUAUUAAUAGUAUCAAGCGUUUUCUGUUAUUGGGUUUCGGCCUUUGGAUAAAAAAAUACGCAAUUUGAAUGAUAAUGAUUUUCUAGGAUUGAGUGGGUGGUUAGUUGAAUAGUAUGAUAUGACGGGUGAAAAUUGUCAAAAGAAUAGAUUUGACGACGAAAAACCCGAUAGCACCAAGUCAUUGGUACUAGCGAUAGUAUAGCAGUCGAACUCAACAUAUGUAUAUUAGGGUUAAUUUCGUACAGGUCUCUAUAAAUAUAGUGAAUUGUAAAUAUAUUCUUACAAAAUUUAAUUUCCAUAUAUUGUCCCUGCAAAAGCCCUGAUGUUUUCAAAUAUAUCCCUGCCGUUAGGAUUCCUUAGAAAAAAUUAAUUAAUUAUAGGUAAAAUACUUAACCCUAGUUAGUUAAUGAGAUGAAUUGACCUUUUUACCCUUCUUUAAUUAAUAGUUGGAACUUUUGGAUGGACAUAUUUAUGAUGCCAAAAGGGUCAUUUCGCUUACAGCAUUUUAAUGAAAACAAACCAAAAUAACAUAUUUUAACACAUUAGGAAGUUUAGAGUGAUAACAUAUAAAAGUUGAAAUUUAUAGGGAUGUAUUUGUAAUUCACUAUAUUUGUAGAGACCUGUAUAAAAUUAACCUUAUAUAUUAUUAUAGAGAAAUAUUUUGCCAGGAUUAAAGGCUUACUUGUUAUUUUUCUAUUAAAACUUAGUUUAGUAUUAAGGUUUAUCUAGCAACGCUAUUGAAUAAAAUAGAGUUGGGGUAAAAACAUACAGUGAUAUGAUUCUGCGUUCUCCGAUGGGACUGCAAAAAAUAUAUCGUAACCGACUUAUCGCGAUAUGCGGAAUGCAAUAUUACAUACGGAAAACAAAUAUAAUAUUUUUUAUCGUACUUUCUCACCGCACGUAACGUAAUCUCCCCGCAAUUUCAAACGAAGUCUAAUUCUCUUGGUUACUAUAACUAUUGUUAAUGAAAUGACAGAGCUUCGCUGCAGAAAUUUUUUUUUGAUAGUAGAUUAUUACAUUAUAAUUAUGAGAUAUCUUAAUGUAUACAUUUUAAUAAAUUUUUAUAUUUAAUUAUUUUUCAGCAUUAUUUCUUUAGCUUAUUUUUUAAUUCAAUCAUAUAAUAAAAUUAUUAUGUAUACUAAAUAUAUAUAUAAUUAUUUAAAAAUCAAUUUGAAUCAGCCCGCUCGACUAGACCGAAUGUGGCCCAGUCUAUUUAGCGGUUUUAAUAUUAGACGUAACCCACCUCACAAAUAUAUACUAUAAAUUAAUAUUAAUAUACUCUUCAUUCUAAAAUAAAAGUAUUAAAAUAUUAGAAAUCUUAAUUGGAUGGAUAAAUUUUCUUCGUCGUGACAUUUGAGAGUUUUUUUUUCUUUAUUAGAGUAGGCCAAUUUGCAUAAAAAAUCCACUUAUUUUGGACUUUUGCAAAAUUGGGCCAUCUUUUUCGUUUUUUCAGAUUCGGUCCACUUUUUCAGCAAACUGACCAAAAUACCCUUUUUACUUUUUCUCUUUCCUCUUUCUCUCUCCUCUUCGUUUCUCUCGUUCUUUUUUUUUCUCGCCGGCAGAGCGGAGGCGGAAACGGUCCGUCUCGCCUCUCACCCUCAUUCUCUAGCCCUCGNGCUCUCUAAAUGUUAAAAAAUUGAAGUUAAGGGGGUCUAUUUCAAAAUGACCUAUAGGUGAAGGGUUUCCACUUAUUUUAUCCACCAAUAAUUAGUGUUAGAAAUUAGAAGGGUAUUCAUGAAAUUACUCCUCUAUUAUUUGUUAUCAAAGUAACAACCCAACCAACUUUUUAAGGGGUAAAUUAGUCAUUUUAUAACUUUACCCUAACGUCAGUUAGAAUAAAAGGUAAUUGUGAUAAUUUUCUACAUUUGGAGGGGUAUAUAUGAUAUUUUUAAUUUUAUAGGGGUAUUUGCGAUAUUUACAUGUUUAAGAGGGCUAGUGAUGAAAUUGACCCUAUUAUUAAUGUGUUAGUAUGCACAUAUGAAAUGAUAAAGAUUUAAGAUUUAGAAUUUUACUAUAUGAUGAUGAUAAUUAGGAUUUAAAUUUUAAAUAUUUACAAUAUAAUGAUGAUAUUUGAUAUUUAAAAUUUGAGAAUUACAUUUUAAUAUUUAAAAUUUAACACUUAGAAUUUAAAAAUUAAAAUUCAAAAUAAAAAAUUGAAAUUUAAAAAUUUAAAUUUUGUAUUCUAAAAAUUUAAAUUCUGUAAUUUGAAUAUUAAGAUGUAUAAUUUUUUAUUUUAAAAUUUUAAACUUUGGAGUGUUAAAAUUUUAAAAUAAGAAUUUUAAAUUUUAAAUUUUCAGAAUUUAAAUUAUUCAAUUUUGAAUUUUAAUUUUUAAAUUUUGUAUUCUAAAAAUUUAAUUUUGUAAUUUGAAUAUUAAGAUGUAUAAUUUUUUAUUUUAAAAUUUUAAACUUUUGAGUGUUCAAAUUUUAAAAUAAAAAUUUUAAAUUUUCAAAUUUCAAAUUUUAAAUUUAAUAUUGAAUUUUAAGGCUACAAUUUAAAAUUUUGAACUUCAAAAUUUAAAAUUGAGUCCUAAAAUUUUAAAAUUUAAAAUUUAAAAUUUAAAAGUAUAAGUUUUUAGAGACCAUAUAUUAUACUGUACAAAUAAUAAAAUAAUUAAACUCUUAGAAAAUAUUUUGCAAAAAAAAUAUAGGAAAAAAAUCUAAAAAACACCAAAAAAAAAAAAAUUGCUGAUUAAAUUCAUUAGAAAAUAUUUUGCAAAAUUUCAUCAUCAUUAUAUUAUAAAUUCUAAAUCUUAAAUCUGUAUCAUUCCACAUAUGUAUGCCCACACAUCAAUAAUAUAUUAGAAACUGUAAAGUGGGGGAUCGAAAAGUUUUUUUUAAGAAAACUUGAUUGUAGUGCCUCUAAUAAAGAAAAAAAAAAAUGAAAUGUCGCAAUUACCUACGUAACUGUGAGAUCCCAUAUAGUUCUAUAUAUCUGAUAUAAUAGGGCUAAACUAUCAACCCGACUUAAAAUAUUUUGGGUGGUGGCUAGAUCCAAGAGGUUGAGAAAGUUAUGUGUGUUAGAACGAGAUAGUCCUAGAAUGGAUGACCUCUUAGGAAGUUGGUGCGUCAUAGUUGGUAUCAGAGCCAAUUACCAGCCGCGGAAAGAGUGUGAGAUGAGUCUCAGCUGGGUCAGGUUAUACAGCGGGGAGAGUGAGACUAUCAUGCUGUUGACUGUUGUAUGUGGAGCUUGGUUCACCACAAGGUCGGUUUAGGCUAGCGAGAUGAGUCUCACAUCACCUGAUACUUGUGAGUUUGAGUUUAAUGAAGAUGUUAGGGCUUAAGGGGGGAGAAUGUGAGAUACCACAAAGUUAGGUUAAGUUAGCGAGAUGAGUCUCAUAUCGUUUGAUAUUUGUGAGUUUGAGCAUGAUGAAGACGUCAGGGCUUAGGGGGGAAAAUGUGAGAGACUCCGGAUAGUCCUAUAUAUGAGAUAUAAUAGGACUAAGUUCUCAAGCUGGCUUAAGCAUUUUGGGUGAUGGCUAAGUUCAAGAGGUUGAGAGAGUUAAGCCUAAUACUUGUGAGUUUCAGCUUGACGAAGACGUCAGGACUUAAGGGGAGAGAAUGUGAGAUCCCGGAUAGUCCUAUGUAUGAGAUAUAAUAGGACUGAACUCUCAACUCGAUUUAAGUAUUUUGGCCGGUGGCUUGGCUUGAGAGAGUUUGGCUUGAUACUUGUGAGUUUGAGCUUGACAAAGACGUCAGGACCUAAGGAGGGAGAAUGUGAGACCCCGGAUAGUUCUAUAUAUGAGAUAUAAUAGAACUAAACUCUCAACCCGACUUAAUCUCCAAAAGAGCGUGGUUUCAAAUUCCACUCUCAAGAAACCUUUUUUUUACUUAUUUAUUUUGCACAAUAUUUUGUUUUUUGUGGUUUUUCUAGAAUUUUUCUUCCACAUUUAUUCUGCAAAUUAUUUGUUAAUAGUUUAAUUAGCAUUUAAUUUUUUUUAUACAUUUAGUUUUUAAAAUAUUUUAAAUUUUAUAUCUUAAAUUUUAUAUUUUAAAUUCUUAUUUUAAUUUUAGGUUUAAAUUUUAAAUUUAAAUUCAAAUAUUAAUUUUAACUAUUAAAUUUUAUUUCUGAAUUUUAAAGUUUCAAAAUUUACUUUUAAAUUCUAAAAUUUAAAAUUUAGAUAUUAAAUUUUAAAUUUCAAAUUUUAAUAUUAAAUUUAAAAUCUCAAAUUUUAAAUUUUUAACUUAAAAUUCAGGAAAAAUUUAAAUUUUAAAAUUUUAAAAUUUUAAAACUAAAAAGUUUAAAAUUAUAAAUCUUAAUUUUUAAAUUACAAAUUUUAAAUUUUUAAAAUUCAAAUUUUAAAUUCUUAAAUUUUAAUUUUGAAUUUUAAAUUUUAAAUUUUAAAUUUUAAGUAUUAAAUUUUUAAUAUUAAAAUUUUAAAUUUCAAAUGUUAAAUAUUAAAUAUUAAAUUUUAAAUUUUAAAUUUUGAAUUUUGAAAUUUAAAGUUUGAAAUUUAAAUUUUAAAUUUUAAAAUUUAAAGUUUAAAAUUUAAAUUUUAAAUUCUAAAUUUUAUAUUUUAAAUUUUAUAUUUCAAAUUUUAAUUUAAAUAUUAAAAAUUUAAAUUUAGAUUUAAAAUUUAAAAAAAAAAAGUGUGUGGGCUCACCUAGGAAUCCAUCUCUUGGAAAUGACUUUCAUAAACAGCUUACAUCACUUGUGCUUUCCUUGGGUGUCGGGCAGUCAGUAAAAAAUGAAAACGGAAAAAGAUUUCAUUGCCAUCAACUCCCAAUUCAACAGGAUAUCGUUUUUAUCUUGUUUUCUUGAACAAUGCCUUUGACGCCAAGGAGAAUGAUACGCACGCAACCAAAUCCAUCUGACGAUACGCAACUAGGGCUGGAACUGGGUCGGACUUCGGAUCGGGGUUUAUCCAAUUUUUUUAAAAAAAUUAAGUUUAAAAAGGCCCGGCCUAGACGCAAGGCCAAUGCCUAAUACCCAUUGGGCUUUGUGACGGCCCACUGUAUGUAUUCGUCACAUAGUAUAAAUAUAGUUUUAUUGUAUAAAAUUAAAACAAAAUAAGAUAUUCUCAUAUUAGUAAAUAAUAAAUAUUAUAUAUAAUGUUAAGUUCUAUGUAUAUAACUAUGUAAAGUAAUGUAGUAUCCUUGGUAUUCUGCAGCCGUGAGAUUUCUGCAUCUGAGGCUGGUCGACACAUCUGGAGAGUGUCGGAACAAAUCCGAGUCGUUUUGACAUGAAAUAGACGCAAAACGGAGUUAGUGUGACGCGGGAGCAGUAUUUAAGCACUGAAAUUUGCAAAUUACAAGUUGUCAGCAUUGAGUACCGGUACCACACAGGGGAGUAUCGAUAUCCCAGUAUAUAUUUUCCGACUGUUGCUCUCGGGUUGCGAUGGCAGAUGCAAGGUACCGGUACGGCAUCGGCCUGGUACCGGUACUCCAGGGUAGGUGAGGGGCUUUUUGGUCAAUUGCUGCCUCGUUGUUAUCAACUCUUUUCCACCGCUUUAUAUAUGUAUAGAGAGGCAGAGAGUGAGGUUUUGUUGCCUAUUUCCUUUUCUCUCUCUAGGUUGGGUGGUGAGCACGGUGGAGGCCUCGGGUAGAGCUCGGAUCGACGUCGACGUUGCGCCGGGGAGUCGUUCGAGCGUACGUGCGUCGUAGUUGCAUCGUUGGGAAGCCGGGCGAGCGCGUGGUUCCUCUCCUAUCGACUUCUCGCCGGAGUUGGAUUAGUUUUCAAGAUGGGUUGAUGUUUAUCGAAAUCGUCGGAUUUCCUCCUAAGCCGGAGUUGACAGCAUGUGUUUUUGAUUUCGUAUAUCAUGUUUAGUAGCUCGAUUCGUCGAUUUGCAUUGCUUUUAAAUGAAAUCUGAAUUGAAGCUUUAAAUGCUAGUUCUAUUAUAUAUGUUGGACUUGAACUUGACUUAGGAGAAAACUAUAGGUUCUACACUGUCAUUUUCUGAAAACUAAUAGAUUUAGCUUUAUGAGCUGUAGUUAGUUUGUAUCGCCGCAGUUUGUACGCGGUGGAUAUACAGAAUAGUGUAGAAUGAAAUUACGCUCGUGCUCGGAUAUCGAGUUUAUUUUUACAGUAGUGUAUAGACUGUUCCGCACUGUCGGGUGCCGUCGCGGUUGACGGUGGAUCCAGAUUUCUAUAUUUUUCAUCAGAUUGUGCCAAAGGCACUUGAGUUGUGGUUGUUAGACCAGUUAGACCCUUUUGCUUUGACUAUAGCCUAUGAGAGUCUGAUUGAGUUCGGCAGAGAUACGCUUGCAUACUCGGUUGGGUAGCGCCCACGAGUGCCACUCCGGAGUCGGAUUUUGUGCUUUUGCGUUGUUGUCGUUGUGUCCUGGUUGGACUCGCUCUCCACUAACAACCCAGCGUGGUGGUAGUUAGUAUAGUUUCGACAGGCGGGACGAGUAUGUUCAAAGUCCCUAGUGAGAUUGGGUCAGAGAUUGCAUAUUUUUCUACAAAUAGUUAGUGUCGGAUCGUGAUAGUAUAAGGGCAUAUAGCUGUAGAGUUUUUCAGCUUUCUUUACUAUUCUUGAGCAUACUUCUGUAGACUUAGUGAGUGAGCCAUUGAGGUCGGUAGCGGUACCCACUGAGGACUAUUUUUUUUUUUUGCAGUAGUUCUCACACCCAGUUGUUGACCCCUUUUUGCAGAGCCUUCUUCUUCGGCUGCUGCUGUUGCUGAUUCCGAUCGUAGAAAGAAAGUCGCGAGCUAGAUCCCUUACAAUUUUAUUGCUGCUUUAGAGGAGUACCAGCUUCAAGUAGUUUUGGUUUUUUGGGUCAUGUACAUACUGAUGUUUGAUCCUCACUGGAGCGAGUGAUGUUGUAUCUAGAGACUGUGUAUGUAUAGUGAAGCCGAUGUUUAUUUAUAUAUGUUUACCAUUCUGUUAGCAGCUCUAUACUACUAGUUGUAGUUUUGUAUGAUUACAGGUACAGGUACAGCUGUCGCUUCGUAUAUAGGAAAAAUUUCUUUGUAUACUGCAGAUUUGUCGGCGUGCCCGAAAAAACGAGAAUCCGGGGCGUAACAGAUUAAGUUGGUAUCAGAGCUUAGUAUUAGGUCGUUGGGAUCUAGAAAACUUUAAGCUUGGCAAACCUUAGGAAGGCAAGAUGCGAGAGGCGUGAUUUAUUGUGAAAGUCAGCGAUUGAAUUAUUUUUAACUUCUCCUAGAGUGAAGUGAGUGAUUGUAGGAGUGUCUGUUUCGGCCAAGAAAAUUAUGUCAACUGCAGGGGUGGCCUUCUAGACUUUCGUUUGAUUGAGUCGAGAGUGCUUGUGUUUUGUAUCUGACCAUUGUUUUGUUUUCAUGCAGUUAUGUAUCAACGUCGAGGUCGACCGCCGACCCGGGAUCGUGCCGCACCACCUAAGAAGCCGGAGCAGGCAGGGCCGAGUGCACCCCCAGAUCUAAGAGAGCAGUUAGUUGCCCUGACUGAGGUGACGAGGCAGCAGGGGGCAUUGUUGUAGAGGAUGUGCAAGACAUUAGCUCCGUCUUAGAGCACAGCACUGAGAGUACCAGAGCAGUCAGCUCCACCCCCGACUAUUCCAGUGUCCGCACCAACGGCAGCAGUACCCCCACCAGUGACAGUUCCCACGGCGCCGGUUACAUCUUCUGGAGAUGCGUCACAGAUGUCGGAGGCUGAGCAAGCUUUGUAGGUGGAGAGAGGUGAUGUAUCGACCCGCGAGCGGGCACAGGCUCAGCUGCCGAGGCAAAGUCAAGAUAGGAAGCGCCCGGUUCUAGAUGACGGAGGACAGUCGAGCAGCAGACGUUCGCCGAGACCUCCACGAUCACGCUUUUGGGGUCGUGGGUCUUCGGGAUGUUAGCGUUAUGGGGGACCUCGUCAGCAGAGGCAACCACAGGGUAUUCCGCAGUGUGUGAUUUAUGGGGGGCCACACUGGCCUCGACAGUGUACGCAGAGAGAGGGCCAGUGUUAUGGAUGUGGAAGCCUGGACAUUUGAGGGCAGCUUGUCCUCGAGCAGCAUCCCCAGCACCAUCGACGGCAUCAGCACAGUCGGCACCUAAGCAGUCUUACGGAGCGGCACCGAGUUACCGCCAGGUGGAUAGAGCGUCUGUGCCGCGACAGGGUGAGCGGCGACAGCAGGCCCCAAGUGGCAGGGUUUAUACAGCCCAGGUGGAGGACUCUACAACAGUCGACCGGGUGGUGGCAUGUAUUAUUUUGAUUUCUGGUAUUCGAGCUCGUACCCUUUUUGAUACCGGUGCAUCACAUUCUUUUGUUAGCCGAGCAUUUGUAUUGUUGCACUAUCUAGAGAUAGGGCUAUUGUUGCAUACAUGAGAGGUGCAUAUCCCCGACCAUAUUUUACAGGUAGUAGAGUGUUGUUGGUCGUGUCCUGUGCAGUUGGACUCGUGGAUUAUGCCCGCAGACCUGUUGGUCUUAGGGCAGCUGCAGGAUUUUGAUAUUGUGCUUCAGAUGGAUUGGCUAGCUCGGUACUAUGCUACGAUCGAUUGUGGAGCGAGGAUAGUGAUGUUCUGCAAGCCAGGCCAGGAUGAGUACACUUACAGAGGCUGCAGGAGUACGUUAUUUGCCACUUGAAUUUCGUCGGUGAGAGCUCGACAGUUGAUGAGUAGAGGAUGCAUCGCUUUUCUGGCGACGAUUGUGGAGGUGCCUACGGCGACGCCGGGACUCGAGGAUAUUCCUAUAGUCCGCGAGUUUCCCGAUGUUUUUCCUCCGGAGUUGACGACUAUGCCGCCGGAUAGAGAGAUUAAGUUUGUGAUUGAUGUAGUUCCUGGAACUGCACCAAUCUCGAAGACACCCUACUGAAUGGCACCGGCAGAGCUAAGAGGGCUAAAGGCGGAGCUUUAGGAUCUGAUGGAUAAGGGGUAUGUGAGACUCAGUGUAUCGCCUUGGGGAGCGCCGGUGUUACUUGUAAAGAAAAAGGAUGGUUCACUCCGGUUAUGUGUGGAUUAUUGAGAGCUGAAUAAAGUGACCAUCAAGAACAAGUAUUCUUUGCCGCGCAUAGAUGAUCUGUUUGAUCAGCUGCAAGGAUCUUGUGUCUUUUUGAAAAUUGAUCUCUAGUCAGGUUACCACCAGUUGAGGGUGAGUGCUGAGGAUGUUCCCAAGACGGCUUUUCGAACUUAAUACGGGCAUUAUGAGUUCACUGUGAUGUCUUUUGGAUUGACGAAUGCCUCUGCCACAUUUAUGGAUCUGAUGAAUAGAGUGUUUAAGCCGUACUUGGAUAGAUUUGUGGUUGUGUUCAUUGAUGAUAUCAUGAUAUACUCCCGAAGUGAUACAGAGCAUGAGGAGCACUUGAGGAUUGUACUACAAUUUCUGAGGGAGAAGAUACGCUAAGUUGAAGAAGUGCGAGUUUUGGCUUCGGGAGGUUUCUUUCUUGGGCCAUGUGAUUUCUGCAGUUGGAGUAGCAGUGGACCUGAAGAAGAUUGAUGCUAUUCGGGAUUGGCCCAGACCGACGAUGGUUACCGAGGUGAGGAGUUUCCUUGGAUUGGCAGGAUAUUACCGUCGGUUUGUGGAAGGCUUUACGAAGCUUUCCACACCCCUCACUCAAUUAACUCGAAUGGAAAUUAAGUUCAUCUGGAGUGAGGAUUGUCAGAGGAGCUUCGAUGAGUUGAGACAGAUGUUGAUGUCCGCUCCUAUCCUUGCCCUUUCGGUGAUGGGGGAAGGGUUUGUGAUUUAUAGUGAUACAUCGCACAAUGGUUUGGAUUGUGUGCUGAUGCAGCAUGGUACGGUAAUUGCUUAUACUUCCCGGCAAUUGAAGGAUUACGAGAAGAAUACCCUACGCAUGGCUUGGAGCUUGCCGUAGUGAUUUUUGCCUUGAAGUUGUGGCGGCAUUACUUGUAUGGCGAGCAUUGCAAGGUUUUCAUUGAUCAUAAAAAUCUCAAGUAUCUGUUCACCCAAAAGGAUUUGAACCUGAGGUAACGCCGAUGGUUGGAGUUGUUGAAGGACUAUGAUUUUAGUAUUCAGUAUCACCCCGGCAAGGCGAAUGUAGUGACAGAUGCGUUGAGCAGGAAGGUAGUGCAGAGCUUGAGCAUGUUGAUUACUCAGCAGAGGCCGUUACUUGAGGAGCUGCAGUGAUUGAGACUCGAGAUACUGUUUCCUGGGUCUACUGCAAGACUGAUGUCUUUGGUCUUACAGCCCACUCUAUUGGACAGGAUCAGGGAGAAACACAGUGGAGACUCUCAUUUGUUGAGGAUUCAAGAGCAGUUAGAGAGCAGACAGGCAGAGGCUUUUUCUGUGGACAGUUCGGGAGUACUACGGUACAGGGACCGGCUGUGUGUGCCUAUAUGGAUUCAGAGAUCCGAGAGAAGAUUUUGAGAGAGGCUCAUUACUCACCUUAUACGGUUCACCCCAGUGGAACCAAGAUGUAUAAGGACUUGAAGGCACACUUUUAGUGGAAUGGAAUGAAGAGCGACAUUGGCAAAUAUGUAGCUCAGUAUCUGGCUUGCAACAGGUAAAGGCAGAGCAUCAGGUACUUGCUGUCAAGCUUUAGAGUCUGCCAGUGUCCGAAUGGAAAUGGGAGCAGAUCACGUGGACUUUGUCGUGGCAUUACCUAGAGCACAGGGUGGUUUUGAUGCGAUUUGGGUGAUAGUAGACAGACUGACUAAGUCUACUCACUUCUUACCAGUACAGACCACCUGGUCAAGGAAGAGGCUCACUCAGUUAUAUCUGGAUGAGAUUGUUAAGCUGCAUGGUGUGCCUACUUCGAUAGUAUUGGACAGAGACCCAAGGUUUGUUUCGCAUUUUUGGAGGAAUCUUCAGAUAGCCUUGAGUACACAGUUAUAUUUCAGCACGGCGUUUCAUCCACAGACGGGAUGAUUAGUCAGAAUGGACAAUUCAGACUCUGGAGGACAUGCUGAGAGCAUGUGUCCUGGACUUUGGAGGAGGGUAGCAUCGACAUUUGAGAUUGGCUGAGUUUGCAUACAACAACAACUAUCAAACGAGCAUUCAAAUGGCUCCGUUUGAAGCGUUGUAUGGACGCAGAUGUCGAUCCCCUUUGCAUUAGAGUGAUGUUGGUGAAAGGAAGACUCUGGGGCCUGAGAUUCUGAUAAAGGCUGAUAAAAAGGUUAAAGUUGUACGACGACAUCUUUUGACAGCCCAGAGUCGACAGAGGAGCUAUGGCGAUACCAGGAGACGAGAUUUAGAGUUUCAGGUUGGAGAUCAUGUGUUUCUAAAAGUCUCGCCGUCCAGAGGGAUACGUAGAUUCGGAGUGCGUGGAAAGUUCAGUCCACGUUUUGUAGGCCCUUUUGAGGUUUUGGAGCGAGUCGGACCGGUUGCCUACAGGAUUGCUCUACCCCCACGACUGGCCUGUAUUCAUUAUGCCUUUCACGUCUCGGUGUUGAGAAGAUACGUGUUCGAACCCUCCCACGUGAUUGACUUUACUCCGCUGGAGCUUGGCGAGGAUUUGAGAUAUGAGGAGCGACCGACAUGAAUUCUUGCUUGGGAGACGAAAGAAUUGCGUAACCGGGUCAUUCCUUAUGUGAAAGUGCAGUCGAGUCAUCACGAGGAGCGUGAGGCAACCUGGGAGCCGGAGACGGUGAUGCGGGAGUCUACCCUUACUUGUUCGAUGCUCAGGAUUAAGGUAUGCGUUAAGUUUCGAUGGCGAAACUUUUUGUAGUGGGGGAGGAUGUAGUAUCCCUGGUGUUCUGCAGCCGUGAGAUUUCUGCAUCUGAGGUUGGUCGACACAUCUGGAGAGUGUCGGGUCAAGUCCGAGUAGUUUUGACGCGAAAUAGACACAAAAUGGACUCAGUGUGACGCGAGAGCAGUAUUUAAGCACCGAAAUCUGCAAAUUGCAGGUGUCAGCAUUGAGUACCGGUACCAUACAGAUGAGCACCGGUACCCCAGUAUAUAUUUUCCGACUGCUGCUCUCGGGUUGCGAUGGCAGAUGCGGGGUACCGGUACGACAUCGGCUUGAUAUCGAUACUCCAGGGUAGGUGAGGGGCUUUUUGGUCAAUUGCUGUCUCGUUGUUAUCAAUCCCUUUCCACCGCUUUAUAUAUGUAUAGAGAGGUAGAGAGUGAGGUUUUGUUGCCUAUUUCCUCUCUCUCUCUAGGUUGGGUGGUGAGCACGGUGGAGGCCUCGGGUAGAGCUCGGAUCGACGUUGACGUUGCGCCGGGGAGUCGUUCGAGCAUACGUCCGUCGUAGUUGCAUCGUUGGGAGGCUGGGCGAGCGCGUGGUUCCUCUCCUGUCGACUUCUCUCCGGAGUUGGAUUAGCUUUCAAGGUGGGUUUAUGUUUACCGAACUUGUCGGAUUUCCUCCUGAGCCGGAGUUGACAGCAUGUGUUUUUGGUUUCGUAUAUCAUGUUUAGUAGCUCGAUUCGUUGAUUUGCAUUGUUUUUAAAUGAAAUCUGAAUUGAAGCUUUAAAUUCUAGUUUUAUUAUACAUGUUGGACUUGGACUUAACUUAGGAAAAAACUAUAGGUUCUACACUGUCAUUUUCACUAACAGAUUUAGCUUUAGGAGCUGUAGUUAGUUUGUAUCGCCACAGUUGUACGCGGUGGAUAUACAUAAUAGUGUAGAAUGAAAUUACGCUCGUGUUCGGAUGCUGAGUUUAUUUUUACAGUAGUGUAUAGACUGUUCUGGACUAUCGGGUGCGGUCGCGGUUGACGGUGGAUCCAGAUUUCUGUAUUUUUUAUUAGAUUGUGCCGAGGGCAUGUGAGUUGCGGUUGUUAGACCAGUUAAACUCUUCUGCUUUGACUAUAGCCUGUGAGAGUCUGAUUGAGUUCGGCAGAGAUACGCUUGCAUACUCGGUUGGGUAGCGCCUACGAGUGCCAUUCAGCAGUCGGGUUUUGUGCUUUUGCAUUGUUGUCGUUGUGUCCUGGUUAGACUCACUCUCCACUGACAAUCUAGCGUGAUGGUAGUUAGUGUAGUUUCGACAGGCGGGACGGGUAUGUUCAAACUCCCUAGUGAGAUUGGGUCAGAGAUUGCAUAUUUUUCUACAGAUAGUUAGUGUUGGAUCGUGAUAGUAUAGGGGCAUAUAGCUGUAGAGUUUUUCAGUUUUCUUUACUAUCCUUGAGCAUACUUAUGUAGACUUAGUGAGUGAGCCGUUGAGGUCGGUAGCGGUAUCCACUGAGGACUACUUUUUUUUGCAGUAGUUCUCACACCCAGUUGUUGACCCCUUUUUGCAGAGCUUUUUUCUUCGGCUGCUGCUGUUGCUGACUCCGAUUGUGGAAAGGGAGUCGCGAGUUAGAUCCCUUCCAGUUUUGUUACUGCUUUAGAGGAGUACCAGCUUCAGGUAGUUUUGGGUUUUUGGGUUAUGUACAAACUGAUGUUUGAUUCUCGCUGGAGCGAGUGAUGUUGUAUCUGGAGACUAUGUAUGUAUAGUAAACCCGAUGUUUAUUUAUAUAUGUUUACCGUUCUGUUAGCAGCUCUAUACUACUGGUUAUAGUUUUGUAUGAUUACAGGUACAAGUACAGCUAUCGUUUCGUAUACAGGAAAAAUUUUUUUGUAUACGGCAGAUUUGUCGGCGUGCCCGACAAAACGAGUAAUCCGGGGCGUGACAAGUAAUACGUACUAUAUAUUUUUAUUUAUAUAUGUGUAUAAUUGCAUAUAAUAAUAUUAUUUUUAACAUAUCCUUAUAUAGAAACUAAAUAUUUAGUUAUAUUUAUAACAUACCGUCAUAUAUAUUAAUAUAUAUAUCUUUAAUAAUACUAUAUAUAUACUAUGUGUAUUAUUUAGUUCUUAUAUGGACGAAUAUAUUAUAUAUUUAAAACGUAUCGGGCAUUGGGGUCAAGGCCGGGCUCGGGCCAGGCUUGGACAUGUCUAGAUUAGCCCAAAAUUUUUAGGACUGAAAUUUUUAAGUCUGGCCCAGACCCAAAGUUAUAAUUUUGAUAUCCAAAACCCGGCCCAUAUAUGGGCUAUCGAGCCGGGCCUUUUUUAAGCCCGGCCCUGUUCCACCCCUAAAUACAACCCUUUGAACCGAAUAGGUCAAAAAAAACCUCUUUAAACUGCUCGAAUCAAUAGUUCAAGCAUCAGACUGAUAAACUAGUCUUGAUUUAAUCAAGUCGGCUGAAUUCUUUUAUCAAUUUAUAUUAAAAUCUAAUGGCUUAAAAUCAAUUUAGUUUAUUUUAUAUAAAUUAAAUUAAGUUUAAAUAAAAGUUAAGUUAAAAUAAAUUUUGAUCUCUAUUUUAAAUUUAGAUGGUUAUUAGCGGCAGAGUUUAUUUUUACUUAAUUUAUGUUUUAAGUUUGACUUGUUCCUAACUACGUUUUCAAUUCAAUUACCAAUGAAUAUUUUUAUAUGUGCAAGGUUUUUUUUUUAGUGUUUACCCAAAAUUUUAAAAUCUAAAUAAAUUUUAAAUUUUAAAUUAAAGUUUAAAUUUAGACUUAAAUUUAGUAAUCAAACAAAAUUUGAAUUUAGUUUUGAAUCUAUUAUUUAAAUUUAAAUAAUUAUUGAUUUAAUAGUUAUUUUUAAACCACUCUAUUUUUCAAACAUAUUUUUUUUAGUUAAUUAAUUAUUUAAAUUUCUUUUUUAUGAUGUGUACGAAAUAUUCUUUUCUUGCAUCUAGAAUUUCGAUUUUCAGUUAAAAAUUUUCUAUCACUUUUAUAUAUAGUAUAUAUAAUAAAAUAAAAAAUAAUUAAAUAUUUAUGACGUCCUGUCUUUGUUAGUUAAUUCGCAAAUUAUUAAUAAGUUCGUGAAUAACGAAUUAAACAGCCUGUGUACAUACUGUUUCCCAAAAUUUUGGAAUAAUUUGCAUUUUUUAGGUUUAAAAUAAAUAUUCGCGAAUUAUACUCGAUCAUCCAAUUUUUCACCCAAAAAAACGAGGGCUCCUCUUCACAGGUGGGCCACGCGGCACACUAGCUCAAAGCCUCAAAAUGAAAAAAAAAAAAAAAAGAAAAGAAAAUUGCUCAGAAGCGUUCGCCAUCGGAACCCUCCGUGAGGACGAGAAGCCGAGCAUCCGAAGUUGGGAACCACCCCGGCCGUGCAUCGCUUGCCACCAGAACCCCCGCGAGGCCGAGCACUGCUUACCAUCAGAAUUUUGGAACCACCCCGGCCGCAUGCUGCUAAUAGCAGAAAUCUAGAGAAAAAAAAAAAAAAUUUAAUAGCAAAAUUUUUUUAUCCUAAAUAUUUAAUUGGUGAAUAUAUAAUAUCCGUAUAAAUUACAUAUCCGAAUAAUUGGUGAAUUCAUUUUUCAGCCGUAUUUUUUAACGAAUUUAAAAAUUAGAAUACGAAUUUUAUUCGUUUUAUACCCGUAUCGAAUUUUUACUGAAUCUGAAUUAACUAUGCGUCAUGGACAGUGUCAAAUAACCACGUAGUCCACUCUAAAAACAUAUGCAAUCCAAAUCCCGUGCUACAAAACAAAUUGGACACUAGCCCCAGUUAUUAGAAAACUAUUUCUAGGAGUUAAUAAAUUAAUUAAAUUGAUUUAGGCAAAUUUAAUUAUAAUGAUACUAUAUAACUGCUGAUUCAAAAAUGUAAUAAAUAUAUGUCCGAUCAUGCAUAAAAUAUAAAUAUUUUUCUAGACUCUAAUACCACUCUUAUCCAUUAUGUCCCGAGACCCGUCCCAUAAGCACCGCUCGGGAAUGCAACAGACCCACCAAAUGAAUAAGAUUUUUCUUGCUAGCACAAACAAGUAAAAUACACCAACAUGUAUAUUUCAUACAAAAAUAGGUGUAAUGAAAUAUCAGAAUCAAUUAACUUCUAAUUUAAAUCUUUUAAAAUAUUAUUAUAUUUGAGUUUACAUCUAAAACUCUCAAAAUAGUACAUAUUUCAUUAUUCCUACAAAAUAGUACUCUCUAGACUGACUUUUGGACAAUCUAUUUAGAUUGUGACUCCCUAGCCACGGCUAUGCGCCUUACCGGAAAUAGAUUGCUCUGAAAAAGCAAUAAUACUAAGAGGGUGAGAACUUAAAAUAAGGUUUCAGUAAAUACAACCAACGAAAGUGGCACUCUACACACUCGAUCUAAAGGAGUUAUAAGUAAAACCAUAAUAAAUAAUGGUACAACUAUUACAGUAAAAAUAUAUGAAGAAAUGUGCAACUACGUACUGUACCUUUAGUAAGAUACCAAUAUGCUAAGCGAGAUGUAACUAGGUGAUAUAUUAAGAAAGAGAGCAUUUGCAGCACAUGGUAGAAAAUGAAGGACUAGAGGUGUAACUGUUGAAACAGUUACAACAAGAAACUGUAAAUAACUGAAAUAGUUGUAACCGAAUUCCAUAAACAGCUGAAACUGAAACCCAUUUCCACACUUAGUUCAUUAUAAAUAGAGGGAGGGUAAGAUGUAAAGGAGGCUGUUGAAGAAUAAUAAGAAGAAACUCCCAUUUCCUUUCUUUUUCUCUGUUCCUUGCGUCGAGCUCACCAGGGAUCACCAUUAUUGAUCGCUAUGUGCUCAAACCCUUUUUUUCUAACCCACAUCAGUGGUAUUAGAGCUCUCCAAGUCUUCGUCUACCUGAACAUAGUGGAGGGAACGCGAUCCCAAGACCUUCAGAAGGCUGAAAAGACCCUGCGCGCGAUGAUCAAGGAGACGUUGGAGCGCCAUGCACAAUCGAUCCAAGAAAUUAGUGAUCGGCAAAGCCGCGACAUAGAGGAGGUAAGGAAAAUGCUUGUUGGGUUACAAACUUCUUUGAGUUCACCUUUCCCUCUUGUUUUUUCUGCCCAACCCUAAGUAUGGGAAUGAUAUGGGCAAAAGAUACCAAUUCCAAUCCUAUUUUGCCAAAAUUGAGUUCCCAAGAUUCUCCGGGAGGAUCUAAAAGGCUGGUUGUACAAAUGUGAUCAAUACUUUGAUGUUGAUGCCACCCCGAAGGAUGCAAAAGUAAGGUUAGCAUCUAUAUAUCAGGAAGUAAAGGCCCUACAAUGGCAUCAAUGCUAUAUGAAGGGUUGCCUAACAAGAGCAGCCCCUCACUGGGAAUAGUAUGUACAAGCCCUGUCCAAAAGAUUUGGACAAGAGCUUUAUGAUGACAGUAUGGCAGAGCUCAAGAAUCUCAAGCAAAUCAAAACUAUCCAAGAAUAUGUAGAUAGUUUUGAUACACUGCUUAAUAGAGUAGCGCUCUCCGAAGAGUAUACUAUUAAUUGUUCUUUGAGUGGAUUGAAAGAAGAAAUACAAUUGCCUAUGCACAUGUUUGCUCCAACAACAUUACAAAAGGCAUUGAGCUUAGCGAGAUUACAGGAAUCUACUAUUGAAAUCAACAAUAAAAAAAAUAGAAACAUAAGACCCAAUAGCUCUUAUUCUUUAGCCUUACUACCAACACCCAAAGGGAGUUCGACGUCAGUGUUGCCUCAGGGGCCCUCACUGUCUCCAGUGUUACCACCUGGACCAUCACUGCCCUCCAAACCACCCGAGGCAACCUUAAAUAGAUCUUGGCCUCAGAAAUAACCUAAAACAUUGCCGAAUAAUGAAAUGGAUGAAAAGAAAGCUAAGGGACUUUGUUUCUGGUGUGAAAAAAGAUAUGUACCUGGGCACCAAUGUAAAAGGAAACAACUAUAUAGAAUAGAAGUUAUGGCGAAGUAGAGGGAGAGGAGAAUGUGGGAAUAGAUAAGGAGGACCAACAAAUAUAGUCACAGGGUCAAACUUAGCUAGUUCCACAUCCCAAAUCUCCCUAAAUGUCUUGGCAGGAACACCUUUAAUACCGAGUUUUAGUGCGAUGAGGCUAUCCGGCGUAGUAAGAAACAAAAGAGUGUAUAUACUUAUUGAUUCAAGCAGCACUCACAACUUCCUAGAUUUCAAUACUGCCGCCCAAGUUGGGUGCAAAAUUACAGCUUGCCCCCCAAUUUCUAUGCAUGUCGCAGACGGUAACAAGAUUCAAUGUAGUUCAAUCAGCCCAGUAUUUUUAUGGAAGAUGCAAGGUUUGGAAUAUGAGGCCAAUAUAUAUGUUGCUUCUUGUCCCGCUUUUGUAAACUUUUUUAAAGAAAAGUCAGUUCGAAAGUAGAACCAGCGAAAAAUGCCUUUUUUUUUAAAUACAACUUGCCACCGAACAGAAGAAACCUGCCACAAAUAUAGAUUUUUUCUUGUCCACGCAGACAGAGUUUUCCCUGUAUUUGCAUGGCAUACCACUACACAAGUUGUUGCAACACUAACAUUCAGUCACACAUGCAAAACAACAGGAAAGAGUGAAGGAAGAAUAUCACGAGCUAGCACCAUUGUACAGACUCCGGAUCAAAGCACCCACCUGUAAUCAUAGCAGCGUCUAACACUCCAGGUGCAAUGAGAUGUCUAUUGGACCUACGAAACAUCCUCUGAGUCAAGAUCCACUAAGUCGACUCCGAAACACUAAACAUGUAGGCCCGAAACUGGCGAAAGUUCAAGUCCGCCGAAACACUUUCGAACUCAACGAAGUGUUUCGGAAGGUACCAUAGCACAAUCCUGGUCACUCGCUAUCCAGAAACGCACCAAUAUAGGUGUUUGGACAGCAACCACAAGCCCAAAGAAUAUCGAUAUGAAAUAACGCACGUAAUGCCAUUUCGGGUUCCCGAAAAUGUCGUUUUUGACACCGGAACCCUUCGUCGCUCACUCGUUGUCUUUGAAAACUCGAGACAGCGAGUGUAACUAGCCAAUGAGGCUUCGUGACGAACCUGGGGUGAUAACACUGUUAGUUAUAUGCUCUAUAAGCCAAUCGAUGUCACAACUUAUUUAAUAUCAGUGUACUUUUCUUUAAAAUUUAUAAACUGAUUCUUCAUUCAUAUUAUUGCCAUAUACAUAUUUUUAAAUCGUCCAUAGAAUUAAUAGUAGAAAAAUUAUAUUUCUAAGAUGUUAGAAAUUUGAGAUAUAUAUCCUUCUGUAAUUAAUUCUUUAAAUGCUCAUGAUCAUAGGAUUAUCAUGAGAGCGGUGAUAAAUCCGGUUAAGAUCAGUGUGUGCUGUACUUUCCUUGUGGGAUGACGAGUCUCAAGUCAUUAGUGUGGUGACACUAGAGUAAGCAUACAGGUGAAUGUUGAAAAUAGAAUUUUUUUUUUUUCAGGAUUUUAGAACUGCCUCUAAUAUGUCUCUAACAGAUUCCGUAGAGACGGUUGUUACAACCGUCUUUUUACAACCGCCUCUACAGACGCUUUUUCCUGUAGUGAGAGUUAGAGGGGCAAAUAAGAGAGAAUGAUGUUGCUUGUGAAGGGGCAUGCAUUUAUAAGAGUACUACAAUUACACUUAGACCCUCAAUCAUUCGUAUUUGCAACUAAGGAACUUACCUUUUUGCUAGGUUUCAACUGCUUGCUUGAUCUUUUGGACGUCCGAAAGCCCCAGACCGCAACUCUAGAGCCCUAAAGUCCAACAUUUGAUAGUUGUUCCAGGUGCUCGCGCAACUGCUUGACUCCCCUUUUUGGAUGCUUAUAGGAAAAACCAGACGCUUGAUUAAUUAACUAGUUAAGCUACCCCUCUUAGGUUGAGCAUCCGAAAGUAGAACUGGACAUCUGAAGAAGCAGUUCAAAAGGUUUUUCAGAUGCCUGCAGGACGAUUCAAACGCCCGACUGAUUUUUCCUCCACUAACUCUUGCUCUUGGGUAGAGCAUUUGCUUGAAUCAAGUGCUCACACAGGCAAUGCGAAGAUUUCGUGCACCCGAAAUACCUUUUCAGGCAUCCCAAAAGUUUGGAAACCAUAUUUCCAUUUCUUUCACAACUCUAUUUUGAUUCGAGUUGAUUCCAACUCAUUUCAAACUCAGUUAAGCUUCUCCAAACCUAUUUUGAUCAUGUCUAACAUAAUUUUAAUCCGUACUUUGCCAAUUUGGCUAAAAUUCGCUGCACUAUAUUGAGUUUCAGUCGAUUACAAAAAGAAAAAAUAAGAUCAAAGUUUUUAGAUAUCUGGGCUUACUUCAUGUUGUUAUUUUGGAAUUCACCAAGCAUAUAUAAUAUUAUAUAAAUAAAAUUAUAAGGUAUCCAAACAUGUUCUCAUUGAAUGAAAAGAUGUAAAAUCUUUUCAAAAGGUGAAAUAUUUUUUUUUAUUUUCACAUAUUAUAAAAUCUGAUUCCAAUUAUAUCUUUUUUUGUUAACUUGCACUGUUUGGUUCGGGUAGGGGGAAUGGGAGAGAAUAAGCCCUUAUUCCUCCCUUUAUUUCCAAACAACAUUUUGGGUAGGGGAAAUAAUAGUUCUCCUUUUUGAGGAAUAAGUUGAUAUAACCAUGAAACAGCUAUUCCACCCUUCCUUCGGAACAAGUUUCUUCUUAACUGAAAAUAAGUUUAACUAAAGUCUAAAUCUAAUUUUAAUGGUAUAAAAUUAUUCUAAUUAAUUUAUUUAAGUCAUUAUCUAUUGCUUAAAUAGUAAGUAAUUAAUUAAUUUAUUAUUAUAAUUAAUUAGAUAAUUAAAAAUUAAUAAUUUAAUUUGUUUAUCUAAUAACUAAUAAUUUAAUGUUCUAACCGAUUUAAUUAAUUUCUUAAGUAAUUAUUUAACUAUAAUAAUUUACUAAAUAAUUAAANGAAUAAGCCCUUAUUCCUCCUUUUAUUUCCAAACAACAUUUUGGGUAGGGGAAAUAAUAGUUCUCCUUUUUGAGGAAUAAGUUGAUAUAACCAUGUAACAACUAAUAAUUUAAUGUUCUAACCGAUUUAAUUAAUUUCUUAAGUAAUUAUUUAACUAUAAUAAUUUACUAAAUAAUUAAAAAGUUAACUUUUUAUAUUUAAUUAAAUAAUUAUCAAUGUAUCCCUUCAUUAUCUUAUCCAUUGUUCAUAACUAAAAUAUUUAUUUGUCGAGCCACGGGGCCAAUUUUAAAAACCUUUUUAUAAUGAUAUUAUUUUAGAAAUCAGAGUUGCGGAAAACGUGCCCUUUUUUUUUUGAAUUCAACCUGGCACAUGUGGCGUACAGAUCCGUCACAAAUACAAAGUUUCUCUGCCUACACGAAAAAAGUCUUCUUUGUAUUUGCACGGCAUACCCAAUGAUAACAACAACAGGAUCACAACAACAACCUAUAUUCAUCGAUCCACAAGCAAUAGAUGCAAUGCAAUUCCAUACAGCUAGCCAUCCUUAAAAAUGAUGUAUAUCUCUAAACAUUUGUUAGGCGCUGAAUGAUGCGAUGCACAUUACAACAAUUAUCCUAUUUAAAAGUGCUCCCUACCCAAAAGCUUUAUUUUUAAACUCUAUUUGAUCAUUUAUGAAAAUUAUUCGAAAACAUUUUUAAAACUGUUUCCCACUCGAAAAUUCUAUUUUUGAAAAUCGACUACCUCAAGGGUUAGAAAACCACAACGCAUGAAUACAUGAAUCUAAAUACCACAGAUUCAUAAAAUUUCGAUUGCCUGUAUAAAAGAAAACAUCAACUCAUACAAGUUCACGAUUAUUCAAGCAAUAACAAUAAUUGUUUAACUGAACCAUUUUAUAAUUUAAACUACUAAAUGUGGAAAGAAAAAUAACCAGGGUGACGACCGCUACUGCAGCCUAACUAAGACGUCCUCCUAUCACGCCAAGAACCAACUCCUUACUUGUGCAACCUGGGGAAAUGGGGGAUGAGAAGCCACAACAAGAUUUUGCAGUAGGUACACAGAGCCCCGAAGGUAAAUCGUAUUCACUAGAAAACAAAAGGAGAUAGAACAACAGGUACACAUAAAUAAGACAUGAUACAUAGGUAAACAACAGUAGUAAUAACAGAACAGUAAAUGAGCAAGAAAUAAAGCUACUACUAUAUCAGAACCUCAACUAAAAGGAUGCCUCAAGGAUAACUAAUCCAAAUCAAUCCAAUCUGGUGCCUGUCAUAUUGGUCCGCAAACCUCAAGCGUUGCCUGUCACAGUGCAUACACUGACCUGAUUCACGCGUCCACUGACGACCCAUCCGGAUAAGUACACCCCUAGUCGGUGGCCAAACCGACAUGGUGUCUAGGAAUACACACAAUGCUGUAACUAAAUCAUGCUGAUAUGCUCAAUGCGAAAGCCGGCAGAAAACUGGUGCCUUAGCUGAAGCCAGAUACAAGGGCAUACAAUGUCGAACCAUGAUCAACCAGAUCAAAACACACAAUAAAGAAGUCGAUGCGUUGCAUAGACCCAAGAUCCAUAGAUAUACAAUAUAUGCAAGCCUGCUUUACAUGUCUAAUAACAAUUGUCACCAUGCAACUAUCAAGAUAUAGAUGAACGAACAAUAAACAAAAGCAACCGACAUAUAAAGACUGAAAUACUGAUAUGCAAGUGCAAUAGCAGGAAAGAGGAAAGUAAAACGAUCUUACCGACUACCAGCUCGAAGCACCCACCUAUAUCGAUAUCGCGCCUGUCUCCAAACUGUACACGAUCAUCAACCGGACCUAUGGAAGGUCUACUGGGUUAGUGUCCAACCCAGUAAUCCAAAGUACACAAUCCACAAACCCCACACAAAACCUCAGAAUUGGUUUCCUAAAAUCGAUCACUGUAAUUCGCCGGAAGUCCCGAAAAUCACACUGGGACUCCGCCGGGACCUACUAAGUGUCCCGAAACUCACCGACUUGUGCCACGAGUCACCCGCUGUCACAAAACACAUCAUUUUGGAUGUCUUGGAAGAAAACACAAGGUCACACAUCAAAACAAUUUAUCGCCGGAUAAUCAUUCGGAUCCGAGUUCCCAAAAGCGUUAAUUUCGACACCGGAACCCACCGUCGCUCACCCGUCAUCUCCAAACUCAUGAUAUGAUGAUGGUGACGAGCCGACAAGGCUCAGCGACAAAACUUAGGGCAAUUAAACACCGUCGGAUGAAAUCCGAACUGAAACUGCGUUCUGCCGACGAAUUUUGCCGAAAAACGCACCGAAAUCGAUAUUUGAUUUCCGCGAAGGGCUUCAGACCUUGGACAAUCAGCCCAGAGGUCAAUUACCACACACACAUACAGCCCACAGCAGCCACAAGGUACAAAAUUGCAUAAUACUCCCAACUAUUACAUAAAAUUACACCAUUUUAUGUAAACAACGAGGUUUUGUGGCUCGUUACCACAAAUCGAGAGUUUUCGAGGUUAGCUGAGACACAUACUGAUAGGUCUUGGCAUGCCGGAUGCCGUGCUCAUGAUCCGGAGCAUAGCAGCUUACUGUGGGAGGCGCGGGAGCGAUCCAAAAUUCAGCGAAUUGCGCGCACUCGGGGUAAACCAUGCUGAAAACGCAGAUUCGAAAUUCGCUGAUCAUAAGUGAGGUGAGCACUGUGAUCAGCACUGACCAGCAAUCACCGUGCUCGCCUUCGGAGGCAUCGAGAUAGCCUCAGAUCACCGAAAAAGUGCAGCCAACCCCAAAAUACACAAAAACUGGGGUUAAAAAGCUUACCGGGCAUGGGGGAGCUAGGGCACGGCCGGCGACGGCUUGGCGGUGGGCACGCCAGCGGCAGGCGGGUGCGGCCGACGGGGGGAGGCCAGGGCUCGUGUUGGCCGGUGGCAGGAGGCGGCGGCGGCGGCGCUAGAGCAACCCGAGCCCGCACAAGCUGAGCUCAGGCUCGGGGUUCAAAGCCGGCCUUGGCGGCGGCCAGAGCGCCUCAGGGCGGCGGCGACGGGCCGCCUGAGGUCGGAGAGAGGUCACAGGGGCGGCCCCGCGUGGCGGCGGCGCAAGAAAAAAGCCGCGGUGUCUCCUCUGCUCAAGCUCGCCCUAGAUGGCCAUAGGGCUGCUGCAGCGUGGCGGCGACGCUUGGGGACGGCGAUAGUCAGCUUAGGGGGGGCGGGGUCGCAGGGGCUCCGGGGGAGGCGUUAAGGGCGGCCCUAGGUGGCGGCGGUGCGGGGGAAGGGAGCUGGGACUUCCUCGGCCAGGACCAACUCGAGAUGGCUACAAUGGCAACAAUGGUGGCGGCGGCGGCCGAAGAGGGUCAGUUUGAGGGCAACCGACCACCAAGGGCCGAGGGAGAAAGGUUCGGGUCCCUCCUUAGCUCGGGCUUGAAGAUGGGUCGAGAAAAAGGUGGAAAAAGAGAGGGAGUAGGCGGCUUUUCCGGCGACCGACGACGUGCGCUGGCGGCUGGGGUGCGCACAACGAGGGCAAGAGAGGGUGACGAGGCGGCUAGGGGUCAGCUGGAGCUAAGGUUAGGGUUUGCACCAUGCAAACCCUAUAUGGCUUUUUAUACAUGAAUGUAUAAUUGCGUAAAAGUCCGCCGAAACUCGGUGUUUUCAAUUGAGUCCCUCACAACGUGAGUAAAACGCACAGACGCAACCCUAUCUUCGAUUUCAAGCAAAAUAGUACAUAAAAUGUAGGAAUUUUCGCAAAAUUUUCAUUUCGCCACUUAUAACCCCUCCUCAAUCCCCGCGCGAUAUCAGGAGAUCCGUCCGAGACAUCAAACUCAUAAUUUGUUUUGCUUGGUUUGGUCGCAGAUUCGCGACGAAACCCAUCCUCUCUUCGAUUCAGCAAAACCACACACCUAUAAAUAAUAUAUAUAUCUAAUAAUUGCCUCCAAGAACCUCCGAUUAGCAAAAAUAGAGCCAAAGUCCCUCCCAACUAGUCUUCUCAUGGAAAGGUCCUUUCCCGAGGGUCCACACGCAAAACGAAGCAACGAGAAGUUUUAAAAAGCAAAAACGGUAAAGAACAAAAGUCCACUUUGCGAUAAAAUCUAGUUUUUUCUCAAAAUCGUGCAUCAAACCCAAAACCCGUCAACAUCAUUGGGUCCAGAGUAGUCGGACCAUUGAAAACGAGCUAUUGGAUCAUCAUGAACAGAGUCUGAUACGCGCCAGAAACCAUCUCUACUCAUUGACCUCUUUGAAAAACCCAGGUUAUUAUUCACUUUAAGUGAAAAGUAAAUAUCGCGUAAAAUCUCCAUCCUAACUUGUUUUUCCCCGAAACUUAACGAGUGUUUUUGUAAUUAAAAUAAUACAAAAAUAUCAUCAAUAGAGAGUUUAGCCACACAGCCAAAUUCUUAGUCCGCACAUUAUUAAUUAAUUUAUUAAAUUAUUAUUAAUUAAUAUAUUGAUAUUAAUUAAUUAGGUAAAUAUUUUUAUUUUAACUAAUUAGAUAAAAUACUAUUUAAUUAAUAUUUUUAUGUUAACUAAUUAGAUAAAUAUUAUUAUUUUAAAACUAUAAUUACUCUUAUUCUCACUAUUCCGAUCUAACUAUUCAAAUACUAUUUUUUUUUAUUUUUAAAAAUAAUCUAAUUUUAAUCCAAAUAUAAAAUUGGCCUUUUUCCUAUUUAUCUUAAGAAUUGUAUCUAUACCAUAAAGAAAUCAAUAACAGUUUAUUUUCGAACCAAACAAUAUCUUAAAAUAGAAACUUUUUGGAUUGUUAACAUAAAUCAAGAGUCUAUAUCUUCAUGUUUCUUUCAAUAAGGAAUAAGAGCAAGUUGUCACAUCUUGUCUUGGGGAAUAUGCAUAUAUCAUUUGAGAUAUGUUGGCUAAUACAUUAGCACUAACUUUUGAAGCAGCACAUAUUCUUUUAAUUACACGUCAUUUCAAAAUAUGCCUCACAAAUUUAUACUUUGUGAGUUGAGAUUCUCAUAACUUCUAAUUAUUCUGAAAAGUGAGAUAUUUUAGUCAAGAGAAUAAAUAUCUUCUUACUUAAAUCCAUAUAGGGUUUCAUCAAAUUUAAUAGUUUUUCAACAAAUAAACAAAAAUAAUGUAAAAAACAGUAGGUAAUAGAGCCAAUAAAUAAAUUAAUAAGACUUUCAACUAAACUAAAUAAAAUAAUUCAAACUAAAAAUUAUAAGUUGAUGGCUCCAUGAUGUCCUUGUUCUUCCAUGAAACUUCGACUAUUUUUGAAAAUCUAAAUGAGCACAAGGAAAUGUUAAUUUUUUUUAAAAGAAAUUCAUGCCCCCAUUUGAAAAUGGCUUGAGUGUCCCAUACAAUUUUUACCUGAGUUAGUGAAUGGAGCAAGAACUUAACAUUCCUUAGGAAAGGCACCCUAUUCAUUUUCUUAUGCAAACUACUAUUAGAAAGAUGCAAAGCUAGAAUUAGAAAGUUCCUUUGGUUUUUUUUUUUUCGACUCUUCCAUCUUCAUAGAGACAAUUCUUAAACACUGGAGUUAAAAAUUUUCCUUCUUUCAUUUCCUCUGAGGAAGCAUGUAAUUGCUUGAGCUUGGGAUCAUCUAAUGUCUUAAACUUUGGGUAACUGUCUAUGAAUAUUCUCUCGUACCAAUAAGGGGCGUUUGGUUGUAGGUAGUUACAACUGCACUAUAAUUGUAAAUACAUAAAAAUACAAAUUCGAUAUUUGGUUUGAUAUAUUUAACUUCAACUACUGCAGUAGAAACUGCAGGAGGAGGCCCAACUACAGCAGUUAGAACUACGCUCAAAUUGACUGUAGUUUCAACUAUAGCUGUUUGAUAACUUUAAACAAAAGAUAAGCAUACCUCCCUAAUUAUUUUUAAAACAAAAAAUAUAUAUAUAUUUUUUACAUUGAAGGUAAUCUCACCAUCAUAUAUAAAAUGAUAAAAGUUUAAAAAUCAUUUCUCAACUACAUUCAAUCAAAUAAAUUAUUUGUAGUUGCAACAUUUUCUACUCUAUCUAACCAAACAUGAUGCAUAUAGUUGCAAUUGCUAUAUUUUUAACUGCAUACAUCACCCACUAUACUAUAUUUAUAAUUACAACUAGCCAAACGGCCUCUAAAUGUUGUCUAAGCCUAAAGUUUUUAAGUCCCAUCAGUAGCUAUUCUCAAGAUCGAGGGAUUCAAUCACUGAUUUUUCUUUCACAUAAAAAGAGUUGAUUUCCCCCGCUUCUUAGAUAUCAAAAAUAGAAAAUGUGCCGAGAUGUUGACAGGAGUUUACAGUCAAAUUUUGAUAAACCCAUAUCUGCAUCAUAUUUAUCUUCGGAUGCGAAUUCAAAUAUGGAUAUAUAUAUCGGAUACUUAAUUUUCGAUACCAUAUCGGCUAACAAUAGAUUUGGUUCAAAUAUGGAUUAAAUUUGUAUUCGGAUAAUAAUAUAUAGAAAAUACUGUUUGUACACCCUAAUUGGAGUGUACAAGUUACAAUCCACCUAUCUAAUGGGUGGAAUGAUUUUACUAGUCACAUAUGAUUCAUUCCACCCAUUAUGUGACUAGUAAAAUCAUUCCACCCAUUAGAUGGGUGGGAUGUAAAAUACACAUCCCGAUUCGAUGUAUAUAUAGCACUCCUCAUAAUAUAUAUUGGGUACAACUACUUAUAAAACUCUAAAAAAAAUUUAGACUAUCCGUAUUUACCCCACUUAUAAGAUUCAAUAUAUUUUUUUAACGUUUCAAACUUUUUCCAAAUAUACGCUCCCCCUUAGAUAACUUUUGAACUGAUUAGGAACAGUCAUGGAUCUCUGUAAAAUUAUAUUUUAUUUUUCAAAUAUAUCUUUCUUAUCAUCACCAAUUUUUUAUAUUUGUUCUUAAUAAUUAAGCUAUGUGGCACAAAAAAUAAUAUUUUGACUUUUUGCCUUUCAAAUACACUCUUACUACUAUACCAAUUUUCUUAUUGCCUUAGGUAGGGUAAAAUAAUUGUUAAACUUUUCGGCCUUAAAGAACUAAAACGGAUAUGGAGCAGUCGAUAUUGCCACCUGAAAUACAUCUUUACGUGUGUUAACAAGAGCUUCUUUUGCUCUUUGGUUAGAAAUUUAAUGUCCGAAUUAAUCGUGAGAAGACUUAAUAUGUACUAAACAGGUGGGUUACUUUAAUAACGAAAAACAUACGAUAGGAGUAUUUGAAAUAAAAAAAAGACGUGGCAUUAUAGUAUUCAAAAUUUUAGGGGUGUAGAAAUUAUCUCCAAUAUUAAUAUGUAAAUAUAACCUUAGAAUCACAGAGGAAUAUUUUUCGUUUUUAAACAAAAUGCAACUAAUUCUGGCACGCUGGUUCAAAUUCAUAUAUCUAUAUUUUAAGUUCAAUCAAUUAUAUAAUUAUAUAUAUAUAUAUAAAUAUAUAUAAUAUAUAUAUUAUAUAUAUAUAUAUAAUAAUAUACGUUAAUCUGGUAUACUAUACGGUACAGAGGCCGUCUGUGCUACACACAGUGUUUCAUGAUGCGGCUUCCAGAUAUCGACGAUCGGCUCCGUUACGACUUACUAGACUAUUGAAAGAUUUGAACUAAAUUCAUAAUUUUUCGCAUCAUUGCGUUAGUGAUUAAAAGGUCCUCAAAAUUGACAAUUUUAAUGGUCGAGUUUGAUGUGUUGUGAAUUUAAACGGCCGUAAAUAAUCCACAAUCUGAUAAAAUUUAUGAAAAUUCUUUUCAUUAUUAGAGUAAGAUCACUACCUCUAUCUUAAAUCAAGUCUUUACAUCAUUUUUUAUAAUUUUUAUUUUAGCCUGUUAUUUUUUAAACUACUUUGUUUGAUAGGUUAUAAUAAUGUCGAAAAUUAAAAUUCAUUUCCUAAUAUAUAAUAUAUAUAUAUAAUAGUAUAUAUAUAUAUAUUAUUAUAUUAACUAGGCUGAAUACUUUCAAUAGUACAUAGCUAGUCGAUUAUUAGGUUUUUUGCCCUUCGAUGAGAAUGUCGGUUAGGAUGUAGUAGCUCCUCUAAGGGUGUGAGGGUGGUCGCUUGAAUUAUAAUGUUAACGGAUAAAAAUAAUCAAAGGAUUAAUCUAGGGCAUAAAACAUUGCAGCACCAAUGGCUUGGUUGCUAAUCGAUAGCAUAGCAGCUCGACCUAUAUAAUAUAAGAGAGAGAGACAGAGUUAUGCUACUAUCCUAUUAAUAGGAUUGGAGCGAUUGUCCUAUAACAAGUCGUUUGAUUAAUCAGAACUUCAAAUUGAAUCCGCACCGAUUGAAAUUCAUCUACACAAUUAUAAAUGUUUAGAAACCAAAUUGUAGAAUGUUCAAUUUAAAAUCAUUAUCAAUUCAUCUUAAUGUUAAAAAUGAGGGACGUAUAAGAUGCAUAACUUCUUAAAAUAGAGAGACUUUCUCAAUCAUAAAUCAGAGUUAUCCAAACAUUACUCUAAAUAGUAUAAAAAUUUUCUAUCAAAAAUUUCAAGCAAUUAGAUUGCUCUACACGAUUAAACAAGCAAUACGCUCAUAUAGAGCCUAGUCAAAAAUUACGAUUUUACGAACACUUGAUCCAGUAAAAUAAAAAAAAUAAUUAAUUUUUAAAAUUUAUGAAAUUUAGUUCUGAUAUCAAAUAACUCUAGAGAUCACUUCAACGUGGCUCGUAUUAGAUUUGGAAUCUCGAUCAUCUAGAACAAUUUUGAUUAGGACAGUGCUCCUAAUCCUUUAAUUAGGAUAGAGCUCUAGCUAUACAUAUAUAUAUAAGCGAGUAAGUAGAUUAGCUAGGUAUACUAUGUAAGCACGAGAGACCUCCGUGCUCCAAGUUGUUUUCAAUGUCUCGUUUUCCCCCACUUGAACGAUUAUAUAUUUUUUUUUUUACGUUUUCAACGUUUUUCAGAAUAUACCCUUAGAUACUUUGAAGUGCAUUUAGGAACAGUUCGUGAUCUCUGUAAAGUUACUAUUUAUUUUUUCGAAUAUCUUUCUAUCAUCACCAAUUUUUUAUUUGUUCUUAUUAGCUAUGGGGCAAAAGAAUAUAUUUGAGCUUUUUGCCCUUGGAAUCCACUCUUCUACUAUCACCAAGUUUUCUUAUUUGCCUUAUUUAGGGUAAAAUGAAUUUUUAAGCUUUUUUCGGCCCUUUAAAGAAAUGGGACUAAACGGAUAUUGGCCAUGAUAUUGCACUUGAACAUAGCAUCUUUGUGUGGUUUUCAAAGAGCUUCUUUUUUGCUCUUUGUAGAAUUUAACAUCCGGAUUUAUCUGAGAAGACUUAUGGAUAUACUAAACAUGGUGGUUACUUUUAAAUAACGAAAACUAUCGAAUGGAUAUAUUUUGAAUAAAAAAAAUGCAUUAUUAUAUUUCAGAAAUUUGUAAGGGGUGUGUAGAUAUUAUCUCACUAUAGGUGUAUUAUGUAAAUAUGAACUUAGAAUCAGAGCGAAUAACAAAAUGCAAUAAAGGUUCAAAUUUCAGCUAUUCGUAUAUUUGUAUUCAAUGAAUGUUAGUAUUACAUUUAUAUAUACAGUAUAUAUUAUUAUAUAUAUUCGUAGCAUACCGUAUAAUGAUAGGUAUAGAUACAUAUACGGUUACAGUAGUAGUAUGAUACUAUAGUAUAAGUAGUAAAUAUAUAGUAUAAUUAUGCAAUAUAGAUAUACUAUGAGUAUAGAAAAGCAUAGUAUAUGAUAUGUAUAUAUUAUUAUUAAUAUAUUACAUAUGGUAUGUAUGUGAUACAUUAUAUAGAGUUAGCUGGUGUCUAUCGGGUAGGCGGAGGCAUAGUAGAUAUAUAUAUACGUAUAUACAGUUAGUAUACGGUAUAUAAUAUUAUUAAGUAAUUAUAUAUAGGGUUAGGCUGGUAUCUAUCGGGAGCACGGGAAGGCGCCUCCGUGUACCAGUUGUUUCAAUGAUGCGGUUCAAAUCGCGAUCGGGCUCCAUUAGACUUGGAUCUAGACUAUGAAGUAUUUGGAAUUCAAUUUCAUAUUUUUCGGAUUUUUUGGCUGUGAUUAAAAGGGUCGGUCAAAAUUUGACAUUUUAAUGGCUCGUUGUGAUGCGUUUGUUGCAUUUCGGGUAUAGCAACAAUCAAAUUCUGAUAAAUUUUAUUUUAGGGGAAACUUUUUUUCAAUAUGUUUUUGAGCAAGUCACUCCUUGAUCUUAAUUCAGAAGUCUUUUAUCAUCAUUUUUUAUGAGCUUUUUUUUUAGCCGUUUAUUUUUAGACCUUUGUUUUGAUAGGUACAAUAAUGUCGGAAAAAUUAUAAACUUUCAUUUUCCUAAUUUUUUGUAUAUACUAUAUAUAGUUUUAGUAUUAUAUAUAUAUUGUUAUAUUUAAGUAGUAUGUGAUAAAGGUGAAAUACUAUGCAAUAGUCCAAGCUUAGUGAUGUUUUUAGUUUUUUAACCUGGAUUGGAAAUGUGGGCAUAGGGAUGAUGGUGGGCCUUCUAGGGGGUUGCGUGAGUGGUUGGUUAUAGUAUUUAAUCUAACGGGAUACAUUAAUCAAAGGAGUUAAGUCUACGGCUAAAACUUGCGCACCAAGUGCUGGUGCUAUCGAUAGCAUUAGCGCCAGCUCUUCUCUUUUCUUUUCCCUCUUCUCUCUUCUCUCUCUUCUCUCUCUAUAGUUAUGGUUAUUGUUUAUAGAGUCCGGCUACUAUCCUAUUAAUAGGAUUGGGCCAUUGUCCUAUCAAGUCGUUUUUUGAUUGAUCGGAACUUCAAUUGAUAACGGCACCCGGUUUGAAAGUUGAUCUCACAUUAGACAGAUGUUGAGAACAUUUUGUAAUAUUUAAAAAAUCUUUCAGUUUCUUAGAGAGUUAAGAAAUGACGACGGUCAUAAAUGGAUUCACUUCUUAAAAUAAAGGUUAGGCUUUUCUCAAUUCAUAAUCGAGUUAUCAAACACAUUAUCUAAUGAUUAAAAAACUUUUUAUUUCAAAAUUUCAAGCAUUGGAUUGCCGUACACGUUAAAACAAACGGGCUCUACUGCCGGGCAUAGCGUCAGAAAUUGUCGUUUUUAAACCUUUGAUCACUAUUAAAUAAUUUUUUGAAAUUUAUGAGUUUUGUUUCUAGAUUUUUGCAACAUUACUCUCGGUCAACUGACGGGCUCGGUCAUCGCAUUACGGAUCUCGAUUCGUCAAGAACAUUGUGAUAGGACAGAGUGGCUCCUGUCCUAUAAUAGGAUGUGGCUUUCUAGCACUAUUUAUAUAUAUAAAUAUAAAUAGUAUUAUCGUGUAUAUUAAAGGUAUUUUUAUUUCGUAGUGAUAAUAUAUUUAUAUAUUAUAUCGUAUUAUAGUAGGACUAUAAUAUAUGUAUAUAUUAGAGUUAGGGCUGUAUCACUAUCGGGGCCGGAGGGGCCUCCAUUGUACAGUUGUUUUCAUGAUGCGGCUUCCAAAUCGACGAUCGGCUCCGUUAGACUUGAUCUAGACUAUUGAAAGUAUUUAGGAACUAAAUUUCAUAAUUUUUCGGCAUCAUUUACCUAUCAAACGAAUAAUCUAAAAAUGAAUGGCUAAAAAUAAAAAUCUCAUAAAAAAUGAUGAUAAAAGACUUGAAUUUAAUAUAAGAAAUAUUGAUCUUACUCUAAAUAGUGAAAAAAAAUUUCAACAAAAAUUUCAUCAAAUUUGGAUUGUUUUACACCGUUAAAUUCACAAACGCAUCAAAUCUAUUAUUAAAAUUGUCAAUUUUGAGAUCUUUUGAUCACUAGCCAAAUGAUGUCGAAAAAUUAUGAAAUUUAGUUUCCAAAUACUUUCAAUAGUGUAGAUCAAGUCUAAUAGAGCCGAUCGUCGAUUUGGGAGCCACAUCAUUGAAAACAACUUGGUAACACGGAUACCUCUGUGCUACCGAUAGUAUACCAGCCUAGCUCUAUAGAGUUGAGCUAGAAUACUCUCAAAAGCACCUAGGGGGUGGUGCUUUUGAGUUUUUUGCCCUUGGAUAGAGAGAUGUAGGGUUGUGAUGAUGGUGGUAGGUGGUGGUAGGUGGAAUAGUGUUUGAUCCAAGGGCUAUUAGUAAUUAAGGAGUAGAUCCAAGGGCUAGAAAUCUAGAAGCACCAAAAGUGUGAUACUUCUAAAAGUAUUCUAGCUCAAUUCUAUAUAUAUAUAUAUAUAUGAGUCCGGCUGGAAUAAUAUCAAUAGCACCAUGCAUUUGGUGCUAUCAAGUUUUCCACCGUUAGAUUUAACCCUUUGACUAUUUUCAUCCGUUAGAUUAUACUAUUAAACCAAUAACUCACUCAACCCUAGGGGGCCUACAUCAUCUUAACCGUACAUUUUUUAAUCCAAAGGCCGAAAACCUAAUAGCACAAAAUGCUUGGUGCUAUUGAUAGUAUUCCAGUCUAAGUCUAUAUAUAUAUAUAUAUAUAUAUAUAGGCUAUGGCUACUAUACUCUUAUGAGUAUAAAGCCCUUCAUACUCAUAAGUUGUUUUCAAUGAUGGAGUUUCCAAAUCGACAAUCCACUCUGUUAAAUAUGAUCUUGUCACGCCUCGGGGUCCCUUUGGAUUUAAGAUCCAAUGCGGAAGUGCCCAAUUUUUUUAUUUUUUGAAAACUUUGACCCCAGAGUAUGUCAGAUCCGCCACAAAUAUAAGGAAUCCACUGUUCAUACGGACAGAGUCUCCCGUGUAUUUGCACGGCGUCGCACGAGUACAAUAUACAACGACAACCGUAUGAGCAUACACAUACAUUUACCAUUCAUAUUUACAUUCAUUUCAUUACAAAUAUCCAUAAAUACGCAUCUAUCAUUUUAACAUGUUUUCCACCCGGAAACUCAUUUUGAAGCACUAAGAGUCAUGAAAACCAAUUAAAACCUUUCAAAAUCGUUUCCCACAUGGAAACACUUUUUCUUUAAAACACGCUACCACAAGAGGUAGAAAAUCGUUUUCAUCUCAAAGAAAACCCUAAAUUCUUUAAUUCAUUCACCAAAGUCACAUUUAUUCAAGUAAAUGAAAGCCAACUGAACCAUAAAGUUUAAGUUAGUUAUUUUGAAUAAGGAUAGAAACUAGACCGAAUGUCACCGGGCCGGAAACUCUAUCGACCGCUACGAACGUGUCUCACG
rnacentral:lncRNA from 1 species